UAGGGGAUUUUUUUUUUUUUGUUUUUCACAUUUAAGCAGUUGAAUAAAGAAACACUAGCAGUACUUUACGAGAAAGAGAAAAAGAAAAAGCCCUACACCGGAUGGAUGUUGCUUGAGCCUUGAAGUAGAUCGAUAGAGAUGCCACAAGCUUUUCCUAAUUUUUUACCCACUAACCCAUAAUUGGCUUGUUAGAAUAUACUAAUACUAGCAUAUUAGGCGUCGCAAUCAUGUACAAGUAUUUUUCAAUUUCCUGGAUGCUUCGUUGGAAGAGGUCAGAAACUAUCCAAAGUUUUAGUUUUAUUUAUUUAAUAUUAUGCUUGAAAGUCUUCCCGAAAAAAAUAUGGUUGAAAGAGAUACAAGGAAAACCAUAGAUCCAAGAGAACAGACCAGCAUCAUCAGGUUGGGUGUGGUAGUCUAAAGUAAAUAAUAAGAAAAAAAUGAAGGCACUUUAUCGGAGCUAGUGGAAGACUGGAAAGGUCGGUUUCAAGGAUGAGGGCAAAAAUUUAUUCAUGAUCAUAUUCAAAGUUACAGAUGAUUCGGAUACUGGUAAAUGGGAUUGGAUGCAGCGCCGACCAGUAGGGAGGGUCUCAACGUCGUGAUGGUCUCAGACUUGGCCUCCAAAUGAGGAAAUAUACAAUCGGCGGUAAGUCAUGAAGAUGAGUUGGCUGGGCAUUUACAAUUUUUCAAAUAAAAGCGUGUGGGGCCGAGUGAUGAACAGGAUAUGUUGCUGAAUAAGGUCAACGCGCCUGUUGGAAACUUUGUUACCUAAAGCUUAAUGUAAAAUUUAUCCCUUAUUAUUUAUAUUUUUUUGUCACAUUAGUUUUUUUUAAAUUAAAUUUAGCAUUCAAUCUUAAAAAAAAUAUCAAAUUUAAUCAUUGAUCAAUUGAAAAAUAGUUUAAUUGAUUUUUUUAAUGAAAAUAUAAACUAAAAUACUUUUAAACAUGGCAACUCACGUAACAAUUCACAUGGCAACUACCGUAACAAUUCACAUGGUAACUCACAUAACAAUUUAAUUUUUUUUUUAAAAUUACCUUUUUUAUAAUUUUUAUAAUUUAUUUUUGAAAUCUUUUUAUAAUUUUUAAAUCAUUUAUUAGCAUGGCAUACAAAACAAAUAAUAUAAUGUUAAUAUAAAGUGCAUAUAAACUGUCGUAUGAGAUGUCACACUAACAUCAUUAAAAUUUUAAUAUUUUAGUAAGCAUUUCUAUUAAAAAACAGUUUAACUCUUUUAAAAAAUUAAUAAUCAAAUUUAAUUUAAAAAAAAUAAUAGUAAAUUUAAAAAAAAUGUAAAUAUUAAUAACUAAAUUUAUCAUGUGAAUCCUAAACCCUUUCUUUUCUUUGUCAAAUAAUUGAGAGUCCAAAUUUUUUUUUUUUUAAUUUGGAUAAUGUUAUAAACAAUUGAUCACCAUACAUCUCCCUCUCUGACCUUUUUUCUUGACCCUUAGUCUCUCAUCAUCAUCACUAAUUUGACACAAUCCUUAGCCAUUCAACACUCUCUAGCAUCACUAUUUGCAACACAAUAUCACCUUCGUCAUCAACAGUAUCAUCUUCAUUAUUACUGCCUCCACCUCUCUUACCAUUGAACCUAGAAGCACCAACUACUUCAACCACCACACUAAAAAACCGAAACCCAAACCAUAAACAAUCAUUCAUACCAAAAAUUCAACAUAAGAAAAAUUCAACCAAUAAAUAAAACCAACAAAAUAAUAAAAAGAAUUGAUCCUAUUGUUUCGAAGAAUCUAAACCAAACCUACAAGCAGAGAAGAGAAAACAUUAAAAAAAAGAAGGGAAAUAAAUUGAAAAAAAAAAGGAGACUUAUCUCUGUACGAGUUUAGGUUUGGAGCACCAAGAUUCCAUUCAACAACUUGAACAACGAUGAGGUGUAUUCAGCCAAGGAGAGCCACAUAUCUCAUACGCAAGGCGAUUGAACGACGAAAAUGGUAGAUCAAGAUAAGAGAAUUUCAAAGGUGACUUGGUAUUUUCAAGGUUUUUAGGUGGGUUUCGAGAAUAUUUGAACCGUUAGUUUGAAAGAGAAAGGAAAGGAAAGGUGGACUGCUUAGUGGCGUUGCCGGAGCACGACUGUUAAGGAAGAGUAGCGCAAGGAAAAAGAUGAGGUAAAGGAUAGGAUAGAAGGAAAAAAAGAACAAGGGAAAAAAGAAUAAAGAAAGGGGAAAAUGAAUAGACAAUUAACUUAACCGUGGAAGAGAUAGAUUUAAUGGUAGAGUGAUAGUUUGGUCAAUUUUUUUAACGGUAGUAAUCAAAUUAACAAUAAAAAAUUAGGAUGAGCUAAAUAGGAUUAACCUCUAUUUAGAAUGAUUACAAGAUACUUUACCCAAAAUUUUAUAGAUUCUUCCCGUGUUGUAAUCAAAAAGUUUUCUUAAAUGUGAAGUAGGAUCCUAAAAUCAGUAUACUAUUUAUUUCUCUAAACUUUAUUAGAACCAAUCUCUAGGGUGGAGAUAUUUUUAAGGAUGCUUUUAAUAGAGUUUUAAGGUAUGUUUGGUUGAGUGAAAAAGAAGAAAGAUGAAAGGGAAAUGGAAAUGAAAAAAUGAAUAUAUAUAUUUAGUACACUAUCUGAUAAAGAAGAGUGAAAGAAAAAAAAGAUCAUUUUAAAUUAGAAAGAUAAAAAUAGAAAAAAUGAGUGAUAAUGUAUAUUAAUUCAAAAUUAUGUAAUUUUCAAAAAUAUUAUUUUCUUUCUUUUCAUUUUUUUUUAACUCUACCCAGCAAUAAAUGAAAAAAAAAUUUACUUUUAUCUUUUUCCUCUCAAGCACAAGUACAGAAAAAAAAAUUUAUAUUUUCUAUUCUUCUAUUUUUCUAUUCUUUCAAUUUUCUUUCCAUUCUACCAAUUAGAAUCUGAGUAUUUUUUUUUAUUUUGUCAAAGUUGUUUCCUAAUGCAGGUUACGAUUUUAACUUUCAAUUUUUAGGUUAAACAUUUUCCCAACUCUCUCACCCUAACACCCAAAGUUUCCCUUUAAACUAUUUAAAUUUUUGUCAAAAUUGAAUAAAUAUUUUAAAAUAUUAAAAUAGAUUUACUUAGACUAUUAUACCUAUGUUUAUUUUGGGUUCUAACUAUUAAAAAUAGAUUCACCCUUAGUUUCCCUUAAACUUCAGCAUAUGGCUCAUUGGUCAAAGGUGUUCAAUCUAUAAUUUCUAACUAUGUCAUAAAAUUCGGAUUUGGACUAAAUUAAUUAAGUGAGAUUAGUAUAUAAUUUAAAAUAGAAUAAUCACAAGUCAAGUAGGGAUUGAGAAGGUCGAAUAAUUAAGUGUUAUUGAAUUAAACUGGUUAAUAAAAAUAGUACAUGGGCUAAAUUGCUUAGUGAACAAAGUAUGAAGGGAUUAAAUUUUAAUUUGGUCAAUGCUUUAAACGGAAAUUAAACUAAGGUUAAAAUAAUAGUUAAACCAUUCUAAAUGGUAUGUUAAAGCUUAACUAAUGUUCGUGUCAUCACUUUCCACUAACUAACCUUAUACUUAAUAAACUAUUAGAUUAAGUGAAUAAUUAAAUUAAUUGUUAUGCUAAUUGUCAGUAUAAAUAUACAAGCUAAGCGCCCCGGGGGGGGAGAGAGAAACACAUAUUCAUUCUUUCUUUGCUUCUCCAUAAUCGAUUGUGAAAUAAGGUUUUAGCAACACUUCAAUUUCUUCAUUUGGCUAUCAAAUUGACAAGGUAGGUGGGCUUAUUUCUUCUUAAAUUUCAUAGAUUUCUUUAUUAUAAGAUGUGUUCUAGUUAACACUCCUUAAAGUUUGGUAUUAUGAAAAUUAAUCUAAGUUAUCUUUGUAGAGAAGGUUAUGGAAUCAUGAAAAGCUAGUUCUUAAUUUUGUUGCAAGUGGGAAAAAGCUUAGUAAGAUAAUGAGUUAGGUAAGAGUAAGUCUAAUUUUAGCUUAAAACUUUGAAAGUUAUUAUUGCUUUAUUAAGGACUAAAUUGUAAAGGAUAAAAAUUUUGAUGUUUGAAAAUAAAUAAUGGUAGUAGGUCCUUAUUCUAUAUUUAUUAAGUCAGAUUUAAAUUUGACCAGGUAAAUUGUGAGAAAUGGGUGUUUCAGAUGUUAAGGACUAAAUCAAAUAAAGUGCAUUCAUAUUUAGUUUUAUAUUUUUUUGUCCAAACCAUAUAUCUAAUGGAUUUUUCAUAUCCAAAUUUAUCUUACAUAGUUAAAGAAGACACCAAGACGUCGAAAAGCAAAAGGAAUGCAAAAGUCGUUGACGAAUAAAUAUUCUGGUUGGUGCUAUUAUAAUUCGAGUUUGUUAGGUAAAUAUAUGUAUAUGUUUGAUUCAUUAAAUGUUCGAAAAUGGUAAUCUAACAAUGUGAGAUAUUUGAAAGGUAUGUAUAUACUUGAGUAUGUGAUUUGUGAUUAUUUGGUUGGUUGUAUACAUGAAUAUAUGCUUAUCGAUGACAUAUGAUUAAUAGUAAUGAUAUUUAACCUAUUAACGUUGUCAGAUAGAGUCACGGGUAUAGUUAGCAUGCUAUAGGGUUCGUUUUGAUAGAUGGGAUAUUCAGUGCUAUGUGUGUGCAUAUCGUGAUAGUUCUAUAAUACCCUAGGGGUCGAGAACAUAUCACCAGCUCAAAUACCUUGAGGGUAUGAGCAUAUUUUGGUGUAGUGGGUGGAAUCGGUGAACUUGUGCCUAAUUAGCACUUUGGUCCGUAUUUGGUGUGAUGGUGGAUUGAUCCAAGUAUCUAUUAUUAUAUUUGAUUUUGUUAAUAGGGAUCAUAAUGUAAAAAUGAUGCAUUAAAUAUGUAUUGAAUUGAUAUGAUAUAUUGAUGUUAACUUGAUAUAUGAAUUUGACAUGUUAAACUAGAUGCAAAUUGUAACACCCCUUGCCCGACCUAAUUGUAAGGUCCGAGUUUCAGGAUGCUACAGUCAUUGUUGGAGAAACUAUCAUCAAAUAUUCAACGAUUAAAUCAUUUAAACAUUCAAAUAUAUCACAAAACACAUUCACAUCAUGAUAUACAAUCCUUUUCGAUUCUCAAUCAUUUAAAUGAUGAAAGAUUAUCGAAUAAAUAAUGGGGUCGUGUGAGCCUUUCAUUGAUCCACUAGAUACAUUCUGUAAGUCAGCAAUCUACAAGAAAAAUGGAGGAAAACAAAGUAAGCAUAUUGAAUGCUUAGUAAGUCCAUAUGAAAUUUACUUAACUUACCUUGAUAUUACAACAAUUAAAACACAUUGGUCUAUAACAUGGCAUCCUUUGACAUCCUUAUCCUUUCAUAUGUAUUUCAACAACGCAACUAGUAUGUUAGUUUAUUCACUUGUCAAAAACAUAUAACACAAUUCAUAUGCAUAUACAACAAAUAUUUCUUAUAUCAUAUACUAACCAAAUCAUAUUCAAUUUGCAAGCAUAGAUAAUUCAAUUCAUGUUAAUUAAUUUUCACCAUUUCAUUUCCAUUAGGUUAUUGUUUUCGAGCCUGAGAGAACCUUAGUAAACCAAAUUCGGAUACACGGGACUAUAGUGCUCACACAAGCUGACAGUGAUCAAGGUUACUCACACAAGCUGACAUUAUGAAUUUGCUCACACAAGCUAACAUUGUAUCGAGGUUAUGAGUCCAGGCAAAACCAACGAUACAUAUUAAUUGAGAAUCUACAACAAAUGUUAGGUCUCAUAUAAUAAUGUAAAUCCCUAAUCAUUUCCAUAUUUGACCCUAGUGGCAUGACCUAUGUAAACUAAUCUUUUACUAAGUUCACAAUGGCAUUAUUUCUGUAAUCGUAUCAUUUCAAUUCCUAUAGAAAAAAUAAAUAUUUCGUGCCAAUCUUAUAAACAUUUCAUAACCAUUUCAGUACCUAGUACCUAUUCAUAAUUGUCAUAUAUUUUAUACUCUGCAAUUUAGUCCAUUUGAUGCCAAAAUCACUAGUAUCACAUUUAUAUAAAUUAAUAAGCAAAAUAACACAAUUCAAUCACAACAUAAAAACAACAUAAUAAAAGAACUUACCUGGAAAAAUCGCAAACAAACACUCUUUAAGGACUAAAAAACAAUUUUACCUUUUCCUCAAUUAUCUUUGAUUUGGUUCAAUUCUCGAUCUAUACAAUAAUUUAAUUCAAUUUAUUAAUUUCAAACAUCUUAUAUCAUCCUAUUAUAUGCAUGAAUCAAUUCAAUUUCAUUUUUGAAUGCCCCUAAAUAUUUAUAUUUUAUUCAAUUUAGUCCCUAAAAUUGAAUUUGUCAUAUAUUUUAAAUUUGAGCUUCAAUUUCAAAAUCGAUCUCAAUUAUAUCCUUUUAAGGCCAUAUAAUAUCAAUAAUUAUAAAAAUUUCACAUCAAAGUUGAAAUUUAUACACUUUAGUCCUUAUGUUCAAAAACUAGCAAUUAGACUUUACAAUCUAAUCCCUUUUCACUUCUAAGCCGAAAAUCUAACAAUUUAAUAUCAAUUUCUUCAAGAAUUCAUCAAUGGAAACUUUUAGAAACUUUAAAUAAAAUUUAAACUAGUACAUGGGCUAGCUAAAUCAAGCUUCCAUGACCUCAAAAACAUAAAAUUUACAAUGAAAUGACUAAAUCAAACAUACCAAAUUAAAGGUCGAAAGUUUGAGCUUCAAAACCUGAUUUUUCUAUUUUGUUUCAAAAGAGAAUAAAAUGAACAAAAUUGUUUUGUUUUCUUUUUAUUUUAUACUUAGAUUAAUAGUUAAUCUUGAUUAAUCUAAUUAAACAUCAAUUAAUUAACCUUAAACAAGAUUAGCAAAAUUGGUGGAUUACAAUUGUCAUCCACCAUCGUUUUUCAUAUUAAAAAGGUCCAAUUACUCAUUUGGUCUUUUGGUUAAUUAAAAAUCUUUGGCAAUAAGCUUUUACAAGUUUACAAUUUAGUCAUUAUACCUUAACUAACUAUCAAUUCGACAAAACUAAGAGACCGAACUUAAAAAAACUUUUAUAAAAACCUCAUAAAUAUUAAGUAUUAAUAUUUAUUGACUUGAAUAUCAAAAAUGGUGUUUUGAAAUCGUCGGUUCUAAUACCACUUAAAAAACAGGUUGUUACACAAAUACCUUAAAGGUACAUUGGGAAUUAUAUCGAGAAAUUGAGUAAAGUACUAUCGAAUAAGAAGAAACGAUAAAUAAACUAUUUGUAUAUAUGUAUCUCUGAUAUUAAUAUGAAAUGAUUAGUUAGUUAACUUGAAAUAUCAUAUUAUUAUGUUUAUUUUAUUUUGUUAUGCACUCAUUUGCAUUUGAAUUAUGUUAGCACGACUGAGUAGCCAUUACUCAGCGUUUAAAUUUGUUUGUUUUUGUGCACAGGUCUUAGAUAAAGUUGAAGAAAUUCUGCGAUCAAGCAUCCAACUUUGAAGCUUAGCUCGAAAGCCAUUACGAAGCUAUUUUGUAUGUAUUUAUAUAUUUUGAGGUCAUAUGGCAUGUACUUAGGUUAGUUGGUUUAUUACCUAAGUUAUUUUGGGCACUUUUGGUAAGUUUUAUAUAAUGGUAUAUUGGUUUAUUACCUUUCAAAGGAAAUAUUCAUCAACUGUGUAUGUAACACCCCUUAACCCUUAUCUGUCGCCGGAACAGGGUUACGGAGCAUUACCCGACAUUUCUGAUCAAUUACAAAUAUUAAACAUAAUACCUAGCAUACACAUCAUGUAAUAAUCAAUUUGUCCCUUUUAUGAGCCCUCAAGGCCCAAAAUAUGCAUUAGAAUUAAAUCCAGGCCCGUGUGACCCUAUGACAUGCCCAUGCUUCAGGCCAUGUCUUACCCAGUGUAACUCUCUGACUUAUGUCACACAGUCGAGCCACACGCCCGUGUGCUAGGCCGUGUGCCUCACGGCGCUGAGACGCACGCCCGUGUCUCUGCCCGUGUGGAAAUACCUGAGUAUUCUGUUUUGAAAUUUUGAAUUGCAGGGGACAUACGGCCUAACCACAUGCUCAUGUGUAAGCCGUGUGUCUUACAUGGUUUGGUCACACGCCCGUGUACCAGGCUGUGUGGACUCAAAAUAAGCCUUAUACAUCAAGUUUUCCAACCCUGCAAAUCUUGAAUACCAAACAAUUCAAAUACCAUUUAUUCAACCAACCUAAAACACAAUCAAAUACGUUUAAAACAUGUCAUAGUAAUGAACUUAAUGAUCUAAUCAUUAUACCCUAAUAGGUAUUCACAUAUAUUAUUCAAAACAAUCUAAAUAAACACCAUUUAACUAAUUCCAAUCUCAUACCAAAACAACCCUAAAAUUUACCUAUUCCAUGCUCAUUCACACUUUAGUUCAAACAAACCAUUUUAUAGUUUCAACAUAGCACUUAUGUCCAUGUAUUGAAGUAAUAAAAUCAUCUUAUAACAUCAUUUACAAACACUUUCCAAAAUAACCAACUUAAGACCACCUAGGUACAUGCCAUUACCAAAAAGAGAAAUAUACUUCACCCUAUUUGAGUACGGGAUUGUUGUGGAUGCCGAUUCGACGAUCUGACUUUGACCUAACCUACGCACGAAAAAACAAACUGUACACCGAGUAUGAACUCAGUGGUAUUUCUAUAAUUCGAAUACUUUAAAGUAAUAGCAUAGUAAAUCAUGCACAUUUUACCUUACAAGUACAUUAGUCAAACAAUAAAUCAGGUUAUACUCUAACUUCGUUUCUCAUCAUUAGCUAUUUCAAAUAGCUUUUCUCACUUUGUUCACAUAUCAUUUAACAAUAACCAUAUCCAUUUCAUGAACCCAUAGUUCAUGUAAAUUCACACAUUUCAAUUGUAUAAUUCAAUUCAUUGUCCAUUCCAAUUCAUAUUCAAUAUCAAUCAAUUUUCCAACACAUUUAUUUACCCCUAUUAACAUAACUCGGACUCAGACGGAUACACGGAUCCAACCAAAACACACCAGUUUGGCACCUAGUGCCCCAUCGGAUAAUUCAAAAUAGUAAAUUGACACCCAGUGUCUCAUAGGUUAUGCCAAAGUAAAGUGGUACCCAGUACCUCAUCGAAUUUAUCCGAAGAAUAAUUUGGCGCCCAGCGUCUCAUCGACUCGAGAUCCAAGUAUCCCUGAACUCUUCCAACCCUAUGGCAUGCCAACUAUAUCCGACUCAGCCUGAUACCAUUAAUAGGGUUCAAAUCACAUUUCAAAUGCCUCAAUUAUCAAUUAUUCACAAUUUUACAAUAAUCACAAUUUCUCAAACAUUCAAUUUAAUAUCAAAUGCUAAUUACUCACCUUAUACACUUACCACAAAUAUUAAUUAAAAUACAACAAUUAUUAAUUAGAUUCAGGUUAUAGAAAUACAAAUCGUAAUUUCCGAGUCACUCAUCGUCAACUUUCUCUUUUCCUUUCUUAACCGAGGUCUUCAGCACAACGUUAGCUACGGAAAUUAAAACAAUUUAAAAUCAUCAUUACAUACAAUUUCACAUUGAAUAUUUCAAUUUAUAUUCAACUUUUGCAUAAAUUCUAAUUUAGUCCCUAAAUUAAGACUAACUUUAUUUCUUCCAAAACUAUUUCAUAUUUCCAUGCAAUUCCCACUUUAAACUAAUUUCAACUUUCAAAUUUCACCAUAAACCCUAAUUUUAAAAUUCUCUAAAUUUAGUCCCUAUUAUUUCAAAGCUUAUAAUUUGUUUACAAUUCAAUCCCUUUUUCACUUUUAACUUGAAAUUCUAUCAAUUUAACCCUUAAUUCUUCAAUUUAUUCAACAUGAACUGCAUCUAAAAAUCUAAUAAUUUCUAAAAUUUCAACAUAGAUUAAGUAGUACUUAUCACUAGGAUUCCAAAAACUCAAAAUUUACAAGAAAAUGGAUUAAAUUGACUUACCAAUCAGGCUUUGAACCUUAAAGCCCUAAUUUUUCCUUUUCAUUUUCUUUCUCUUUUCUUUCUCCCUUUCUUCUCUGUUUCGUUUCAAUACUCUCUCUUUUUCUAUCUUUAUUUCUUUUUUUUUAUGUUUUAACUAUAAUAAUAUAAUAUAAUAAUAAAAUAAUAUUUACUUAAAUUAUAAGUAAAUAGGUAAUUAUUAUUAAUAUAUGUAUUUUAUUAAUCCACAUGUUACCACCAUCACUAUACACUUGUCAACUUUUGGUUUAAUUACUUAAUUAUUCCCUUAACUUUUCUCUAUUUUAUAAUUCAAUUUUUAUCCUAUAUACAAUUUAGUCCUUACAGCUAAUUAAUUUUAAUUCAAGCUAGUUCAUCUAGCUAAAAGCUAAUUAACCACACAACUAACUUGUAAAUAUUUUUAAUAAAUAUUUACGAAUCCAUUUUUCGGAAACAGUGACCCAAAAAUACACUUUCCGAUACCCGUAACUAUCGGGUCAUUACAAUUCUCCCACUUUAAUAAAUUUCGGCCUCGAAAUUUAUCUGAAAAGAGGUGGGGGUACUAAGAUCUCAUUGUUUCUUCCAGUUCCCAUGAUGCUUCCUCAAUACUAUGACUUCGUCACAAUACUUUCACUAAGGGAACUCGUUUAUUUCAUAACUCUUUUACCUUUUGAGCUAAUAUCUCAACUGUCUCUUCUUCAUAUGACAAAUCAGGUCUAAUUUCAAUAUCCUCAGUAGAAAUAACGUGAGAGGGGUCUGAUCUAUACCUUUUGAGCAUUGAUAUAUGAAAAACAUAAUGAAUUUUUUGUAAUUUCGGAGGUAAAGCCAAACGGUAUGCGACAAGUCCAGCCCUUUUUACAAUCUCAUAUGGCCUAAUAAAACGAGGACUCAAUUUUCCCUUUCGACCAAAUCUUAAAAUUAUCUUCCAAUGCAAAACUUUAAGAAAUACCUUAUCAUUGACAAAAUACUCAAUGUCCCGACGUUUUAAAUCUGCAUAUGACUUUUGUCUGUCAAAAGCAGUUUUCAAUCUUUCUUGGAUUUUCUUGACAGUGUCCUCUGUUUCUGGAAUUAACUCUGGCCCAAUCAUUUUUCUUUCAUUCAAUUCUGUCAAACACAUAGGUGAUCGACAUCUACGACCAUAUAAAGCCUCAUACAGUGCCAUUUGAAUACUUGAUUGGAAACUAUUAUUAUAAACAAAUUCAGCCAACAGUAAAUAACGUUCUUAGCCAGAUUCAAAAUCAAUGACGCAAGCAUGAAGCAUAUCUUCUAAAAUUUGAAUGACUCGUUCGGAUUGCCCAUCAGUCUAAAGUUAAGUCGAGUGCCAAGAGAUUCAUGCAGUUGUUUCCAAAACCUUGAUGUGAAUCGCGGAUCCUGAUCAUAAAUUAUCGAUACAGGAAUACAAUACAAUCUCACAAUUUUUCGAAUAUAAAUUUAAGCAAGUUUUUACAGUAAGCAAUCAGUUCUAACUGCUAUAAAAUGAGUUGACUUUGUGAGUCGAUCAAUAAUCACCCAAAUAGCGUUUUUCUUACUUGCAAACAAUGGUAGCCCCGUUACAAAGUCCAUUGUAAUACAAUCCCAUUUCCAUUCAGGAAUGUUAAUAGGCUAAAAUAAUCCAGUCGGAACCUGAUCUUCUGCCUUGACCCGUUGACAAGUUAAACAUUUGGACACAUAUUCAACCACAUCCUUUUUUAUGCCAGGCCACCAAUAAGAUUCCCGUAGAUUUCUGUACAUUUUUGUUCCUCCAGGAUGUAAUGCAAAAGGACUGUCAUGUGCUUCACGAAGUAUCUAUUCUUUUAAUUCUGAAACAUCUGGUAUACAAAUUCAAUUAUGAAACCUCAGGCAACCAUGUUCAUCAAUGCUGAAAUUCUUUAACAUUCCAUCCUGAACCAUUUCUUUCUUCUUCAUUAACUUGUCAUCUUUUGAUUGUGCUAGCUUGAUUCGAUCAAACAUUAUCAGUUUAAUUCUCAAUUUGGCCAGUAAGCUUCCAUCAUCAUUGAUACUGAAUUGUGCAAACAUCGUUCGUAAUUCAACUGUUGCCUUUCUGCUCAAUGCGUCAGCUACAACAUUAGCCUUACCUGGGUGAUAAUCAAUAACACUAUCAAAAUCCCUCAGAAGCUUUAUCCAACGACGCUGUCUCAAAUUUAACUCUUUUUGUGAUAGAAGAUACUUGAGACUCUUGUGAUCAGUAUAAAUAUAGUAUUUCUCACCAUACAAGUAAUGUCUCCAUAUUUUAGAGCAAAGAUUACAGUAGCUAGUUACAAAUCAUGUGUCAGAUAAUUACGUUCAUGCAGUUUCAAUUGUUAAGAAGCAUAAACUAUCACUUUUUCGUCUUGUAUUAAAACACACCCGAGACCAUUCAAAGAAGCAUCACUAUAAAUAAUAAAAUCUUUUCUCGACUUUAGAAAAGUCAAAACCGGUGUCUCAGUCAACAUUUGCUUCAAUUUCUCAAAACUUUCUUGGCAUUGAUCAUCCCAGACAAAUGGAACAUUUUUAUGUAGCAAUCUUGUCAUCGGCAAAGCUAUCUUUGAAAAUUCAUUCAAAAAUCUUCGAUAAUAUACGGCCAAUCCAAGAAAACUUUAAACCUCUGAUACAUUUCUUGGUGCUUUCCACUGGACAAUCGCCUCAAUCUUUUUCGGAUCAACUCUGAUUCCUUCUGCUGAAACUACAUGUCCCAAAAAUACAACUUUGGACAACCAAAACUCACAUUUACUUAGUUUCCCAUACAACCGCUUCUCCCGUAAUGUUUGCAAAACUAUUUUAAGACGCUGCUCAUGUUCAGAUUCAGAUUUCGUAUAGACCAAAAUGUCAUCAAUGAAAACUACUACGAACUGAUCCAAAUAUGGUUGAAGGAUACGGUUCACAAGAUCCAUAAAAGUAGCUGGAGAAUUUGUCAAUCCAAAUGGCAUUACUAAAAAUUCAUAAUGUCCAUACCUUGUACGGAAUGCUGUCUUCGGCAUAUCACUUUCUUUUACCUUCAACUGGUAAUACCCCGAUCUCAAAUCAAUCUUUGAAAACAUAGAAGCUUCUUUCAAUUGAUCAAAUAGAUCAUCAAUACGAGGUAGUCGGUAUUUAUUCUUGAUCGUCACCUUAUUUAGUUGUCGACAGUCAAUACACAACUGUAUUGAAUCAUUUUUCUUUUUUACAAACAAUACUGGAACUCCUCAAGGUAACGUACUAGGAUGUAUAAAACCACGAUCCAAUAAAUCCUGCAGUUGCACUUUUAAUUCUUUUAACUCUGUAGGUGACAUACGGUAUUGAGGUAUUGACACUGGAUCUGUACCAGGAUAAACUUCAAUUACAACUUCAACUUCUCGAUCAGAUGGUAAUCCCGAUAAUUCUUUAGGAAAAAUAUCAGGAAAUUCAAAAACAGUUCGAAUCUUACUGCAUUGGCUUUCAAUAGAAUCUGAAUUAAUAACAUAAGCUAAGAAAGCUUCACAACCCUGAUGAAGAAGUUUAUUAGCUUCAAUUACUGAAAUAAUACGAGUUGACUCACUGGUUCGAAUACCGUUUACUUCAACCUUAUCACCAUUCUCAUUCUAAACAGUAACUUUCUUUUUGCAACAAUCUGAAAUCACCCUAUUCUCUCAAAGCCAAUCCAUUCUCAGAAUUAUAUCAAAAUUGCCAAAUGGCAUAAUCAGUAAAUCGACAAGGAAAAUUUUAUUUUGUAUCAUCAAGAGACAUCUUCGACAUACUUGAUCCACUAGCACAGUUUGCCCCAAUGGACUAGACACAAUUAUUGAUACUCUAUACGUUUUAGAUUUUAAAUCUCUCGACUCAACCAACUUUGAAUUAACAUAUAAAUGUGAAGAUCCCGGAUCUAUUAAAACAUAAACAGUUUUCGAAUGCAAUAGAAAUAUACCUGUCACCACAUCAUUUGCAUCACCCCCUUUACGGGUCCGUACAACAUAUGUUCGAGCUGGUACUCUGACCUCUGAUCGCUGAGUGGCAACAUCACUUUCUCUUCUAGCAUCACCUCUGAUAACUGAACCAUUUCGACCUAAUCCAUUACCUCUAGAAGCAGAUAUAGAUCUCUGUGAUGUAACUGGUGUAGCAUUCUCAUUUUUCGGGCAAUCUCUAAUGAAAUGCUCUGUAGAUCCACAAUGGAAACAACCUCAUGUCAAUCUCCAACACUCUUUUCUAUGCUUUUUCCCAUAAUGUUCACAUUCUGGAAUUUCAGUAUCCCAAGAUAGACCUCGUACACUGUCAGUAAAAACUAUCGUCUAUCUUCUACGAUUUCUAUCACCUCUAUCUGAUUUAGAACUGAAUCUCCAACUACCACGUGAUUCUUUUGAUCUUUUGGAUAGUGGAUUUGAACUAGUGGCUCCGGGACGUUUUCCAAUCGGACAAAUAUUUUCAAGCUUUUUAGCAAGACCCAAAACUCGUUCAACCAUUUUUGCUCUUUCAACCAAAUCAACAAAUUUAGUGAUUCUGUGGGAUACUAGUUGCACUCGUAACUCAUCACGUAAGCCCUGUAAAAAUUGCUUGCAACUAUCAGCUUCUGUAGGCACAAAUUCAGCUGCAUAUCUACUGAGUCAUGAGAAUUCCCGUUCAUAAUCAACUACUGACGUAUCACCUUAUUUUAAUGUCAUAAACUCUUAUUUUCGGUCUUCAAUUUAUAGCUCACCUACAUAUUUCUUCUGAAACUCUCUCUGAAAGAAAUCUCAAUUUACCUGUUUGGCUGGUACAUGUCGGGUUAUUGAUUCCUACCAAACAUAUGCUUCCCCUUGAAGUAAAGAAACAACACACAAGAAACUUUUUCGAAGAGUACACUCAAGUUGCUACAGAAUUCUUUUUAUGGAUUCCAUCCAAUUUUCAGCUGUAGAGGGUUCGACUCCUUUCAACCCCAAAAAUUUAGUAGCACUAUACUUAUGUAAUUCUUUAAUUAGGCUCCAACGGGUGAUAGGAGUAGAUGUCGUAGCAGGUGCAGUCCCUGCUACUCGUUGAAGAGCUUCAACAAUAGCUCUAAGUAAUUAUGUAUCAUCUCUUUCUCUAACAUUACCUCUUUUGACAUUUGGUGGUUGAUUACCCACUGGAUUUACACUCGGUAUUGCUAAAUCUGUUUCAUCUAAUUCACGAGAUUCUUCAUCCCCAGUAUACAUUUCUUGAUCAAUAUCAUCAAUAUAUUCAUCCGACAUCUUUAACUAUAAAACAGAAAUAAAUAAAUAUAUCAGCAUCCAAAUCCUGACUCAAUUAUGACAUAUACCUCUAGACUCAAUUUUGAGCUUGAUUUAGUCUGAGAAUCAGCUAAACCUACAAAGCUCUGAUACCAUUAAAUGUAACAACCCCUAACUCAUUCCGUCGCUAGAACAGGGUUACAGAGCAUUACUCGACAUUUUAGAUCAAUUACAAAUAUUAAACGUAAUAUCUAGCAUACACAUCAUGUAAUAAUCAUUUUGUCCCUUUUAUGGGCCCUCGAUGUCCAAAAUAUGCAUUAAAAUUAAAUCGGGACUCAAUCGAAAGGUCAGAGAAUUUUUCAUGAAAUUUCAAAAUUUUUCCUAAGUACAGGACUCACACGCCCGUGUGGUCAAGGGACAUGCCCGUGUGACCCUAUAACAUGUCCGUACUUUAGGCCGUGUCUUACCCCGUGUAACUCUCUAACUUAUGUCACACGACCGAGCCACAUGCUCGUGUGCUAGGCCGUGUGCCUCAAACGAUUGAGACACACACUCAUGUAUCUGUUUGUGUGGAAAUACAUAAGUAUUCUAUUUUGAAAUUUUGAAUUGCAGGGGACACAUGGCCUGUAACAGCCCAUUUUUAGUAAAAUCAGAACAGUGUUUUCGGGACAACAAAUCCAAAGUUGAGAAAUUUUACCGUUUGUGUACUCAAUUUGUGAAAAAGGACUAAAUCGCAUAAAGUACAAAAGUUGGGUUCUAUUAGCUAAAUGUGUUAAAUAGCUAUAGAACUUUAAAGUGGAGGUCCUUAUAUGAUAAUUAGACCAUUAAAUGAGUUAGUGGAUGUGCAUGGCUUGGCAUUUAUGAAAUUAUUAAAGUUAGGUAAAGGUAUUUUGGUAAAAAGGCAAAUAAAAAUAAAAUAAACAAAAGAAAUAAAGAUAUCAUCUUUGUUUCAUCUUCCCCAACCGUUUAUACUAGCAAAAAAAAUCCAUGAAAGCUUGAAAAUUUUGGCUAAGAAUAUCCCUUGCAUGGUAAGUGAUUUUUGUCCCCUUUUUGUUGAUUUUUAUAUUUUCGGAAUCGUUGUUGCUUAAUCUAUUUAAUGAGAGGGCUAAUUUGCAAAACCAUUGAAUAUUUUAAUAUUUUCCAUUGAUGAGUAUAAUAGGUAUUUGAAGUUUAAUGGAAGAAUAUGAGUCCUUGUUGAUAGUUAAACACUUUUUGUUAAGUGAAUUUUUGUGAAAUUGACAAUUAAUGGCUAAAUUGAUAAAUGUGAAAACUUUAUGGUUAAAAUGUGAAAUAAAUAAAAUGUGUGGCCUUUUAGGGACACUAUUGAUAUUCGGCUAUAGUAGGAUUGUACUAAAUUGCAUGAAUGUGCAUUUUUAUGUUAUAGGGACUAAAUUGUAAAGAAGUUGAAAUAUUAGGGGCAAAAAUAUAAUUUUUCCAUAAAGUGAAUUAUGGGCUGUUUUGAUACCAUGAACAUUUUUCUAAGCUCAAUUCUAGUUAAAAAUGGUUAAUUUGCAUGUUUUGAGCUAAGAGCCAAAAUUGAAUAAAAGUAAAACUUUAGGGGUAAUUUUGUAAAAAUGUAAAAAAUGACCAAAUUGUAUGAAAUGAAGUGUUUUACUGUCUAAAUUAGUAUAUUGAAUGAAAUUAUUAAUUUAGAUCAAGAUUGGGUGAAAAAUCGAGGAAAAUAUAAAAUUACCAAAAUGCCCCUGAACUUCGGUGUUUCUACAAUUUAGCCAGGUAAGUUCGUAUGUUAAUAAAUACUGUUAAAUUGUGCUAUAAAUUUAUUAAUAUUGUUGAAUUGAAUCACAAUGCGGAUUGGAAAUGAGUACGAGCACAAUCGACAGAGUUAUGACAUCCGAAAGUCCCGUACGAACUUUAGGAAUAGCUUAGGACCUAAAUGUCAUGACAUUAGGAUUACCGGGAUAUGAGAUUCGUGUAAGACCAUAGCUGGUCUAUUGGCAUCGACAUACUAUAACAUGUAAGACCAUAUCCGGGAUUGGCAUUGUUAAGUUAUACGAGAUUUCCUAGUAUCUUUAGCGAUUCCAAAUGGUUCAACGGGCAUAGUCAAGACGAUAAUGAAAGUACAAUCAAAUUAAGUGUAAUAGGUACGUACAAAACCUAUAUAUGAGAAUUGAAUGAAGGUAAUUUGGUAAGUUAUUAUUGUAUCAUCUGUAUGAAAUGAGAAAGAUUUAUGUAUAAGGAUGUUUCAUGCCAAAAAUGUGUUUAUUUGGCCAUAAUGAGGUAUGGAUUGAAUGAUGUGUGAGAUAUGAGUUAUAGAUGUUUUAACUAAAUAUACAUAUGGCACAUAGUGUGCAAAAUACCGUUAUUUGAUGAUAUUUCACAUGAUUUAUCUUUACUAAAUAAAAUGUGAUUGAUAUUGGAUUGAAUAAAGUUAUAAAUAUAUAUAUUCGCUUAUGUUCGUGUAAGUGUGAAUGGUUGGACAACAAUGUAAUUGAUCCACACGAUCAAAUAAAUAAAUAAACUUGUGAAACUCUUGGUUAACUAUGUGAUUAGAUUUAUGGUAUAUAGGUGAAAACGAAUAAAUUACAUUAUAGUAUUUUUAAAUGCUUAAUAUGUGCUUAUUCGAUAAAAUGAGUUUAAUAUCAUACGAGCUUACUAAGUUUUAUAGUUUACUUUGUGUUAUUUUUCUAUGCUUUUUAGUGAUUCGGACGUUCACUCGGGUUGGAAGUCGGUGGAGAUCACAUCACAUUAUUCGGUUUUUUAUUUCGGUAUUUAUACACUUGUGACUUAGUUAUAUGGCAUGUAUAGGCUUGAAUUAUGUGGAAAUGUGUUUGGUAAUGUUGAUUGUGAGUUUGGCUUAUAUAUGAUGUCAAUGUUGGUGUGUAUUUGGCCAUUUAAGUUGGCUUAAUUCAUAAGUUUUAUAAGUGAUAUAUGAUGCGUAUAUAUAUAGAUAGCCUCAUGUUUUGGCAUGUUUGGUAUGAUAUAGGGAUGAUGAAUUGGUACAUUUUGAUGAUGAUAACUAAGACCUAAAUAUGUAAUAUGGAAGUAAACCUAUAAAUCUUGAUGCAUGAGAAUUAGUAAGUUUGGGCUUGACUAAGUAUGAUGUUUUGAGUAUGUAUAAGUUGACAAGAUAUUGCCAUGAUCAUGACUUGUUGAACGAUGUUUAAGUAAUCAAAUAUGUUGUGAUAUAUGACUUUGAAGUUAUAAAUGUGUUUGAGCAAAUAAGGGUGACAAAUGGCUUGGAAAAUAGCCUCAAAGUUGUCCACACGGGUAGACAUUCGGGCAUGUGUCUAGGCCGUGUGUGACACACGGCCUGCCUCUAUGGGCAUGUAGUUCAGUCGUGUGUCCCCUGCAUAUUAUAUUUUAGCUUCGAAUUGGUUACACGGGCUGAGACAAGGUUGUGUGAGGGACAGGGCCUGGAGACAUAGGCGUGUGCUCUGGCUGUGUGAAGUCUGCACUUAAUUUCAAGAAUUUAAUUCACCACACGGCCUAAGGAUACGGUCGUGUGCCUUGGCCGUGUGACCCCAUUUUGUGCAUGAUGUCAUAAACAGAAACUUACACGGGUUGAGGACACGGGAGUGUACCAAGCCAUGCGGGCAUGUGUGACCACACGGCCUACCCACACGGGCGUGUGGCCCUGUUUCAUGAUAAAAUUUUUUUAAGUUUUCCAAAAGUUUCCAAAGUUCUCGGUUUAGUCUCGAACCACCCCCGAUGUAUGUUUUGGGUCUCGUAGGCUCGUAUAAGAGACGUUGUGAAUGUGUAUGAAAAGUUUUAAAUUGGAUGAGAUUUUAUAGCCCGAUUUUGCAUGAAUGUUUAUGUUUUAAGUCCAGUAAUGCCUCGAACCCUGUCCUAGCAUCGGAUACAGGUAAAGGGUGUUACAUGGCCUAACCACACGUCCAUGUAUAAGCCAUGUGUCUUACAUGGUCUGGUCACACGCCGGUGUGCCAGGCCAUGUGGACUCAAAAUGAGCCUUAGACAUCAAGUUUUCCAACCUUGCAAAUCUUGAAUACCGAGCAAUUCAAAUAUCAUUUAUUCAACCAAUCUAAAGCACAAUCAAAUACGUUAACAUGUCAAAAUAAUGAACUUAAUGAUCUAAUCAUUAUACCCUAAUAGGUAUUCACAUAUAUUAUUCAAAACAAUCUAAAUAAACACCAUUUAACCAAUUCUAAUCUCAUGCCAAAACAACACUAAAAUUUACCUAUUCCAUGCUCAUUCACACUUUAGUCCAAACUAGCCAUUUUAUAGCUUCAACAUAACACUUAUGUCCAUGUAUUAAAGUAAUAAAAUCAUUUUAUAACAUCAUUUACAAACACUUUCCAAAAUAACCAACUUAAGACCAUCUAGGUACAUGCUAUUACCAAAAAUAUAAAUAUAUUUCACCCUAUUUGAGUACGGGAUUAUUGUAGAUGCCGAUUCGACGAUUUGACUUUGACCUAACCUGCGCAUAGAAAAACAAACCAUACGCUAAGUAUGAACUUAGUGGUAUUUCUAUAAUUCGAAUACUUUAAAGUAAUAGCAUAGUAAAUCAUGCACAUUUUGCCUUACAAGUACAUUAGUCAAACAAUAAAUCAAGUUAUACUCUAACUUUCGUUUCUCAUCAUUAGCUAUUUCAAAUAGCUUUUCUCACUUUGUUCACAUAUCAUUUCACAAUAACCAUAUCCAUUUCAUGAACCCAUAGUUCAUGCAAAUUCACACAUUUCAAUUGUAUAAUUCAAUUCAUUGUCCAUUGCAAUUCAUAUUCAAUAUCAAUCAAUUUUCCAAUACAUUUAUUUACCCCUAUUAACGUAACCCAGACUCGGAUGGAUACACAGAUCCAACCAAAACACACUAGUUUGGCACCCAGUGCCUCAUCGGAUAAUUCGAAGUAAUAGAUUGACACCUAGUGUCUCAUCGGCCAUGUCGAAGUAAAGUGGUACCUAGUACCUCAUCGAAUUUAUCCAAAUAAUAAUUUAACGCCCAACGUCUCAUCGACUCAAGGUUGAAGUAUCCCUGAACUCUUCCAAUCCUAUGGCAUGCCAACUAUAUCUGACUCAGCCCGAUACUGUUAAUAGGGUUCAAAUCACAUUUCAAAUGCCUCAAUUAUCAAUUAUUCACAAUUUUACAAUAAUCAAAAUUUCUCAAACAUUCAAUUUAAUAUCAAAUGCUAAUUACUCACCUUAUAAACUUACCACAAAUAUUAAUCAAAAUUACAACAAUUAUUAAUUAGAUUCGAAUUAUAGAAAUACAAACCGUAAUUUUUGAGUCACUCUUCGUCAACUUUCUCUUUUCCUUUCUUAGCUGAGGUCUCGAGCACAACGUUAGCUACGAAAAUUAGAACAAUUUAAAAUCAUCAUUACAUACAAUUUCACAUUGAAUAUUUCAAUUUAUAUUCAAAUUUUGCAUAAAUUCUAAUUUAGUCCCUAAAUUAAGACUAACAUUAUUUCUUCCAAAACUAUUUCAUAUUUUCAUGCAAUUCCCACUUUAGACUAAUUUCAACUUUCAAAUUUCACCAUAAACUCUAAUUUCAAAAUUCUCUCAAAUUAGUCCCUAUUACUUCAAAGCUUAUAAUUUGUUUUACAAUUCAAUCCCUUUUUCACUUCUAACUUGAAAUUCUAUCAAUUUAACCCUUAAUUCUUCAAUUUUUCAACAUGAACCACAUUUAAAAAUCUAAUAACUUCUAAAAUUUCAACAUAGAUUAAGUAGUACUUAGCAUAUGAUUCCAAAAACUCAAAAUUUACAAGAAAAUGGAUUAAAUUGACUUACCAAUCAAAUUUUGAACCUUAAAACCCUAAUUUUUCUUUUUUUUUCUUUCUCCCUUUCUUCUCUGUUUCAUUUCAAUACUCUCUCUUUUUUUAUCUUUAUUUCUUUUCUUUUUUUAUGUUUUAAUUGUAAUAAUAUAAUAUAAUAAUAAAUAAUAUUUAUUUAAAUUAUAAGUAAAUCGGUAAUUAUUAUUAAUAUAUGUAUUUUAUUAAUCCACAUGUUACCACCAUCACUAUACACUUGUCAACUUUUGGUUUAAUUACUUAAUUAUUCCCUUAACUUUUCUCCAUUUUAUAAUUCAACUUUUAUCCUAUAUACAAUUUAGUCGUUACACCUGAUUAAUUUUAAUUCAAGCUAAUUCAACGUUUUUCACAAACAGUGACCCAAAAAUACACUUUUCGAUACCCGUGACUAUCGGGUCAUUACAGUGUAUGUACUUGUUAUCUAUGGUGAUUGUAGGUCUAUUUGAGGGUUAAGGUUAUGCAUGAAAUGAUACUUUGUUUUUAUUGAUCUUCGAAGAAAUCCGGUAUGGAUAUAAAAAUGUUAAUGUUGGAUGUUAUAAGAAAAUAAUCAAAGACAUCAAGGGGAAUUAGAGAUGAAUUCAAAAUAAAGUAUGGUAACUAGUAUAUAUGGAAUAGACGGAAGUUUAGGAAGUAUUCGCCAAGAAGCAAAUUAUAUUUCCAACAGCAACUAGAUCGUCAUCAUGAGGCAUCAGCUACUUUGUAUAAGUAUCAUUGAGGUAAAUGAAGUUUUUCUCGAUAGUUCUUAUGAACUUAAUCGUGUAUGUUUAUGUUUCAGGUAAAGCGCUGAGGGAUUUUGCCAGGAGGGACCCUGUUAGGACUGCGCCAGUAAAGUGGCAUGUCGGACUAUUAUGCAUACAGAGCAAGUGCAACAGUGUUUUAAAAGUCAGAAGAAUUUCUUAGAAGAUUAGACUUGUGAUAAUUGUACUAAGUUAGGAUUUCCUUUUAAAAGCUUUAUAAUUAACUUUCUUUAAUUACUGCUGUUGAGUAUGGAUUUUCUUGAUGUUUAUGUAUUUUAAUAGAUCUUAUACAACUAUUUAAUUGUAAAUUUGUAAUAGUAGUUUAAAGUCAUGUCUGUUUUCAUAUGGUAACACCUAAGAUUUGGAUCCGGAGAAUCGUAUCUGGUUGAAGGUGUUACAACAUGGAAGUAAAAAGGAACUCACCAGAAACUCACUAAAAACUUUAGUACAGAUCUACGCAGCAGGGCCUUUGCCCUUGUUGUUAGGACCCUAGUUAGUUUCUUGAGCUAAAAGGAAGAAAAUUAUUCUUAUCAGAUCAUUAAUCUAUUAUGUAUGCAAGAAUCGAUAGCACCUAAUCUAGAAUCAGGAAGUUUCCUUCCUCACGAACAGUUCUAAAGUUUAUGCAUGCAACACUAUAAACACGUGAAUUUCUUCUAUAAUAACCUAAAGGUUACCAAAAAUUACCAUUAAGCUGGUAUAAAUGUAGAUGUUAGCUAAACACUGCGAACCAUCUUUGAAGAAGUUCUCAACACUAAGGUUUUUCAGAAACUUUUAGAGGAAUUCAGCGAAAAAGAUGUAAAUAUGACUUAUGCUAGCCAACAAUAACCUUAUACACUCAUGCAAUAGAGACAAGGUUUUGUGGAAAAAUUAGAUAAUCCCAUUAACACCCUUGAUUAUCGUGAUUAAAUGCACUUAACAAGUUUUAAGUCUAAUUAGUCUACAGUAGUCUAGUUCAGUUCUAACUAAAUCUCAACUAAAUCCCAACAUAACUAAUUAAGUAUUCAAGAACUAAAUAAAACAAGUUAUAAUAACUGCAAACUUAGCAAGUUCAUCCAAAACAUCAGGGGUGGGCGGAUACUUAACAGAAAAGUCUGCAAACUAGUGUUCGCCAAAACUAAGAGUUCACCAAAUGAAAAAUUACACCGUAUACUCUACUUAGCUAGAACAAAGACUUUACAUACUCAAUUCGACUAUUAACUUUACCAAGUAUACGCCAAAUAGUAACAGAAUACUGAGACUCCUUUGGGCGGGCUGUUACAAUUAUUGUGUUAUUUUUUUGUUACAUAGAUACAAGUUUAUUUUAUUUUAUUUUUCAAAUUGCCACGCCAACACAUUAAUUCUAAUAGAGUUAACAAAUAGGCCUAAACUUUUAGAUUCACAAAGUAAAAAGACUAAUUUUUUUAAAAUAAAAGUAUGAAGAUUAAAUUAAGAAAUAAAUAAUUAACCCAACGCUUAGCGUGGCUAGUAAAUGGAUCGAUUGAGUCAAUGCUUCCUACUUAGCAUAUUCUUUUUAGUGAAAUACAAGAACAGGGCAAAGCCAGAACAACAAGCACGACUAGUGCGACUCGAACCCAGGCCACACCUGGGACGAUGAACACCCUAACCAUUAGGCUAUCACAUGGGAUUCUUCUACUUAGCAUACUUUUAACCUAUAAACAAACUAAAUUUUAAUUAGCAUUUAAAAAAAAAACAUAGUUUUAGGUUUUCUUCAAACUAAAUUAUUUGAAAAAAAAAUACUUUUCAAUUGCUAAAAAUAAAAGUCAAUCAAUUUCUCAAACCUUUGUAUCUCAUUCUUUGCCAUUCUUUCAACCCAAGUUUUCACAUUCACUUUCUUUCUUUCUUCCUUUUGGUAAGACCUCAUGGGAAUUGAAAAAAAAAAAGGAUCCUACCUACUCAUUUUCUUUAAUGGAGAUCAUUACUUGUUAUGCUUAAAACUGAAUUUCAAAGUUCUUUAAAAACAAGUUUGAACCUAUGGUCAAUUCUGUAAACUUGGAGGAUUAAUAACAUUAUUUUCAAUGGGUUGAAAAGAGUGCUGAAGAAUGAGAUUGAAGGCAAUUGAUUAUGGUUUCAUUCGUAGAAUGUUGAAUAAUUAAUUUACUUUGAAAAUUAAACCCAAAAAUAUUUAUUUAAAAUGCCAAAUAGGUAUUAAUUUGUGAUAUGUUAAAAAUAUGCAAAGUAGGGAGUGUGGAUUCAAUUUUAAAAUAUUUCAAUAGUGUUAAUAUAAAUUUGUUAAUAAUUAAAGUUGAAUGUGCAAUUAGAUUAAAUAAAAAGUUUAUAAUCUAUUUGAAUGUUGAGGUUAAGUUCAAUGAUUUAUAAUGUAAAUUACUUUAUAAUUUUAUUACCUAAGGUUAAAAGUCAAUAAUUUCUUAAUUUAGUGGCAAGAGUGUUCGUGUUGUUGUAUGGGAGCUUGGAUUCAUUUCCUAACAAUCCCACCUUUAUUCUCAAUUUAAAAAAACAAAAGAGACACGUGUCAAAAAUAAUAAAUGAGAUACAAGAAGAGACAUAACGAGGUCGAAAUUUUUUGUUCGAUACACUUAUUCCCUUUAGAGUGUAGUGAAAAAUUUAAAAAAAAAUUGAAGUAACAAAAAAUGAAAACAUGACAUCAACGACUAACUUUUUUUAUAUGGUGCUUUUCAUAGGUCGGGUCGUGCCCUACUUCCAGAAUGAAUUUCAAACCUAUAACCAUUUUCGAGCUAGUUCGGCCCGGUUUGUCCAAUCAUUUAACUAUUCAAAUUAAUAUAAUAUUUAUUUAUAUAUUUUUAAAAAUUAAUAUUUAUAUAUUUUUAUAAUAUGAUAUAAAUUUAUUUAUUUUUAUUAUUUAUAUUAAAUUAGAAUUGAGUUAGUCCAACAUGAAAUAUUAAAAUCCUUAUCUAGAACCGAUCGAAGUCAAGUCUGGUGGAACCAUGGAUUUGUCUACUUUUAUAUAGUUAUAUAGACUUUCUUUUUGGUAUUAAAUCAUUUAUGUAGACUUACACUAUAAUAGAUGUAGAUUAUAAAUUAUAGAUAUUGACCAUGCAACAAUGAAAUAGUGCUUUGGAAUCGAAUUGGCAGACUAAACCGAUAUUACUAUCUGAUCCUGAUAGUCGUAUGGAAACUAUUGCUAUCCAGGCCUUACGAGUUACUGCCAUAAUCGUCGUAUGGAUAGCAAAAUUCGGAAACAGAGGCAAAAGGUUUGCUUACGGAGGCAGAAAACAGUUCUUCAUACAUAAAUUCACCAGAAGGAUUGAUGGCCUCCAUUUUGGAAUCUGCUCUCUCUUGCAGCUCCAAGGCAAGCUCUAGUGUGACCACCACCUCACCCAUUGCUGGCCUUUCAUUUCCCUUAUAAUGGGCACAACUAGAAGCGAUAUCCGAAUACUUUUCCAAACAUUCUGGAGCUAUCCUUCCCUUGAGGUAUGGAUCAAUGGAAUUAUUAAUGGUUCCUUCCCUUUGGGAUUCCUUCAGCCAAUUAAGUAUAUGUUGUUUAUGCUUUGGGAGCGUGCUAUCAUAGGCUGUUCUGCCUAAAAGAACUUCGUAUAAGAUGAUCCCAAAUGAGAAAACAUCAGAUUUUUCUGUCAGUUCCCCAUACAUGGCAUACUCCGGAGCCAUGUACCCAAAAGUACCCGUAAUUCUUGACUCUUUUCGAACUCUCGAAGCUUUUGACAUGCUAAAGGAACCCAAUCUCGAGAACCUAAAGUCAUGAAGCUUACAAGACAAUUCUUCAUUUAAAAGAAUGCUUCGGCUCGUAAUAUGACCGUGAAAUAGAGCGUAUUUUGCACCAGUGUGAAGGUAGUGCAGUCCUCGUGCUGCACUAAUGCAUAUUUGUAGCCUUCGCUUCCAAGGGAGUGGUGCAUAACCCUGACCGUAGAGAUGAUCAGCAAGUGUCCAUCUGCUCACGUACUCAUACACAAGGAUCAUCUCAUUUCGCUCUUCGCAAAUCCCAAUAAGAGAGACGAGAAGGGGGUGGCGCAACUGGCAAAGAAACCGUACCUCAUUUUGGAGCUCUCUCACUGCGUCUUGACAUGAUCCAUUUCGGCAGCGCUUGACACCAACUAUGGUUCCAUAAUCAAUAGUCCCUUUGUGGACACUCCAAAAACAACUUUCACCAAUAACUGAGUUGGGGUGGAAGUUGUUGGUGGCGGCUUUGAUCUCAGCUAGUGAAAAAUGACGGCAUAAACCCUCCGGUAGUUCUGAACCUCGAUUUAGUUGAGGGGAAGUUUUGUUUAAAACAAACAAGCCUAGACAAGAACACAAAGGGUUCUUCAUAGUUGCAUCUAAAAUACUAAAGAUUCAAUAGUAGUUAAAUAAAGAAACAGUUUUUUAGGAGACGGGAAAAAUGAGUACGAAAUAUAUAAGUUGGAUUAGAAAUACAAGUUUUUCGACAUUUCUAUUCCUAACCUUGAAAAGUAAGAUUUGAUUUGGUAAAACUGUGACUGUCUGAUUUCUAUACAAAUUUCAAAGCUCGUUAGAACCGGAAGAAAAUAUGAAUAUUUAACAUCUAUUUAGGUUUAGUUUGGAUGGGUUUACCUCUUGUAAAAUUUAAAACAACGGUAAUGAUAAGAUUAAUUAUCGUAAUGAUGAGAUUGAAUAUCGUAAUGAUGUGAUUUAAAACAGGUGUGGUGUGCUUGGAUUCAAACACAACUGUAGCAAACUAAGAUAUUAGAUUAGAAAUAAUAUAUAAUAAAAAAUUUAAAUUAUUUUAUUUUUACAAAAUUAUUAAAAUAUAUAAAUUUAUAAAUUCAUUUAAUAAAGUAUUAAAAGUAUUUAUUAUGUUUAUUAAAAUGUUUAUUUUUAAUUAAAAUAUAUUUAUUAAUACAUUUUAUUUAGUUACUAUAUAAUUAUAAAAAGUUAUUACAGUAAAUGAAUAAAUUUUUUGAAAAUUUAAAAAAAUGAAAAACUAAAAUAAAUUAUAUAAAAGCUGUUAAAGUUCAACAGUCAUGAAAAUGAAAAUCUCACCGAUAAUAUAUUUUAAUUUAUAUAAAAUAAAAUUUGUUAUUAUUUUAAAUUUAAAAGUAAAAAAAAAAAGGAGUAAAAGAAAAAAUAAUAAAGAGAACAAGAGUAAGGAUAUAAGUGGAAAUAAGCAACCAAUAAAUAUCCAAAAUUUUCACUGGAGCACAAAGCUCCAAUGUGUUUAUUAUAAUUUCUACUGCACUGGAUCAGACAAUCCAAAGAGAUCGCUUCAGUGCAGUUGAGUUAAAAGAGCACUUUAAACGCAUUACACUGGUUAAUGCGCAUACAAAGAGGUACAUACAUUACUAAAAGUAAUCAACACAACAUAGUAGGCAUCUACCCUUUUUAGUAGUCAAACAUUUUUCUUAGAAUUAUUGUUUUUCUAUGCAGCUCAAUCCCUACAUUUUCUACCUUACUAUCACAUCGGAAAUUGACAACGUUAACAAUUUUCAACGGCCACUGCAACUUAAAAACCCACUUUUUUUGCCAUUGAAACUGUGAUUAACAACUCUAGAUUGUUGUCAUAAAGAAAAUUGUAAAAAUCAUUCAGCUCAUCUAAGAACAUGAGGAUGUGCGACUGUCUUUUGCUUGAAUUUAAGCAUAUGGGGAAAAGAGGAAUAAAGGAAUCUUAAAGGCAAUUCAAGAGUACUAUGAAACUAUCCCUGACCUAUCAAAAUGGUUUAAAGACUACCUGUGAUAUUGCAGAUCAAUCUUUAAAAAUUGGAGAUUCAUAAUGGUCUAAAGACUACCUGUGAUAUUGCAGAUCAAUCUUUCAAAAUUAAAGAUUCAUGAUGAAGAGGAUGAGCAUAAAAUGAAAGACAUGAUAGACUACAGUAAAGAUUUUAAGGAUAGUGCUCAAUUCCUCCACUCAAAUCAAAAUAGCUGAAAGAACUUUUAAUAAAAAUAAAAUAAAAACCAUAACAUUUUACCAAAAAUCCUAACUAGAUAUCACUUAUCUUUCAAUCUGGGUUACAGAGUCUGCCCUAAUUAUAUCAAUCUUUGGCUCCCCUUCAUUUCCUUGAGAUUUCUUUUGCAAUCAAACUCUUUUGCUGUCACGAGUUUCUUGAAGAUUUGGAUAUUGUUAAAGUUUUUUUGAUAGUAAGAGUUUUAAGGAUUUCACGAUUUCAGAAUUAUAGUUUUUAAGGAAUUCAUGAUUUGGGAUUAAAGGGAUUUUACAUAGGUUUUAAUUUUUGGGUUAAAAUUAUUUUUUACAAAUUAUUUAUUUCUUUUUAAUAUCAUAUUUAAUUAUUUUUUGACACGUCAUCUUCAUCCUCGCAUGUCACAUAGUUAACUUCGUUGACCGGCACUUAACUAAUGGUAAUUGACACUUCCUGUUAAAAUUAGGUUGAUUUGUGAAAAACCCCUAACGUUGAAAGCGUCAAUCUAAAAAAAUAAGUCAAAAGCACAAAACUAAAAAUCCAUAAACAUUGAGAGAAUUUUUAACAAUUACGCUAGGGGUAAGCAAAACUCGAUUCGACUAGAAAAAAUAAAAAAAAUUAGAAUUUCGAGUUAAACGAAUCGAGUUAUUCGAGUCAACUCGAAUUUUUUUUUCGAAUUUCGAGUUCGAAUCGAGUUGAGUUUUUGAAUUCGAAUAAUUCGAAUAAUUCGAAUAAUUCGAAUAAUUCGAAUAUUAAACUAUAGUAUUUUACAUUUUUACCCCAAACUCCAAAACUUUGGUACGUUGCCCGCAAAACCUUUUACUGCCCCUUCGAUCCCAACCCCCAAUGUACCCCAAAAUCAUGUUCCCACCAAAUUGUACCUCUCCCAUUUACUUUUUGCUCAAAAUUUUACUCUAAAAAACUCUCAAAACUUUUGAUUUUCCCCCAUAAUUUUGACUCCCUCCCACUUUCCCUCUAAAAUUGUUACUUCCUUCCAAUCCCACCUCCCAUCUUCCCCAAAUCCAUCCCCCAAUUUUUGUUAAUAUUUUCCCUCCAAAAUGUUACCCCUUCUAUUUACUUUCCCUCAAACUUUUAUCCCCUAAAACUUUUAUUUUCCCCCUAAAUUUUUACUGCUCACCUUUUACUCGCAAAUAAAAAAUCAAAAUUAUCCAAAAAAACAUCACUAAACAUAAAUAGUAAUAAUUUUAUUUAUAUCUAUUAUUUAUAUUAUAAAUUAAAUUUCACAUUUUAUAUUAUUUUAUAUUAUAAAAUUGUUUAGUCCUAUUGAAUAUUUAUAUUAAAAUUAAAUUAUUAAUUAUGCCAUUAAAUAUUCAUGUUAAAAUUUUAUAUUGGUAUCAAUUUCACAUUUUAUCUUUAAAAUAACUUUUAUUAAAAAAUCACAUUUUUACAUUUAAUGUAUUUUUUAAUUCCAAAAUACAUAGUGACAAGAAUCUAAAGAUAAUUGAAAAAACUAAACAAGCAAAUAAGCUAAUCCGUAUAUAAAAGAUUAAUAAAUAAAUUAUGAGGUGAUAAAAGUUAAUAAAGAUUUUGAUUAAGAUAGACAAAUUUUAUUACGAUGGGUGACAGUAGUUACAAUGAUCCAAAAUUAUUUUUUAAAAUUUAACUCGAACAAAUAUAUUCUAUUCGAUUCGAUUCGAAUUCCAUCUUACUCGACUCGAUUCGAGAAAAUUUCAAAUCAAAUUAGGAUGAUAAAAUAUGAUUCGUUAACUCGAUUAACUCAAAAUUUUUUCAUUCGAUUCGAUCGAACGCUCACCCCUAAAUUACGCCAUUAUAUUAUAAUAAAACUUUCCUAGGUUUAUCUAUUUGUUGUGCAGAGCAUGCUACUCAGAAUUUUUAUUAUAUUACAAUCCAAGUUUAGCAACUAGUCUAGGUUUCAUCUCCUAUCCUGUCUAAAACUUGCUAAAAUUAUAGUCAAACUUCACUAAUUAGCCUAGGUUCAAUCUCUUCUCCUGUUCUCAACGUAUAACAAUUUUUUGGAGUUAUUUUAGAAAGUGAUCUAUAAAAAGAUUAAAAUUUAUAAUGAAAUUAUUAGAAAAAAAGUAAUUUAUAAAAUUGUUUUAGAAAGGUGUUUUUCUUAAUAUUUAGCAUCGUUACUCAUAAAUAUUUUUGAGUAGAUAAAAUUUUUAUUUUAAUUAUAAUAUUGUAAAAUCGAAGAUUUAAUAAAGAGAUAAAAAUAUAAUUUUAUCACUUUUUCUAAAAAUUAAAAAUUUUAGAUUAAUUUAAAAAAUUUCAAUUUAAAAUUAAAGUUUGGUUUGAAAAAUCAUUUGUUUACCAAAAUUUUUUAUUUAAAAUCAUGGUUAACCUCAAUGAUAAGCAUACCAGAAUAAAAUUUCAAUAUAUAUUAAAGUCUGCCUUUUUUUUAUCAUUUAAACUUAAUUAUAAAUAUAUUAAUAUUUUUUUUCAAAAAAAUUGAAAUAGUAUCUUAAUUUUCCCAUUCGUUUAAAUUCAAUUUCGGCAAUUUAUUUUUAUAAUUUUUUAUUUGACAUUUCAACUUUAUAAAAAAUAGUAAUUUUAGUUUAUUUAUUUUUCACUUUUUUUAGUUUUUAUAUUUACGUUUUUUUUAAAUUACCUCAAAAUUGAUGAAAGAAUUAAUAUAUUUAAUUAUAUUAAUGUGACAUACAAGUGGAUUAUCAUGUAGAUAACACACCAGCAUUUAAUUAAUUUUAAAAUUUUUAAAAAUUCAAAAAAAUAAAAUUUAUUUUUUAAAAAUUAAAAAUCAUUAAAAUUAUUUAAAAAGUAUAAAAAUUAUAAAAAAAUUAUUAAAUAUUUUUUAAAUUUUAAAAAAUUAAUUAAAUGUUCAUAUAUAACUGCAUCAGUGAAGUUAACAAAAUUAAUUUUUUCAUUUAUUUUAGAUAAUUUGACAAAAACUAAAAAUUAAAAAAAAUUAAAAUGAUUUUUUUUAUAAGGUUACAUUAUUGCUUUUUGUUUUUUACUGAAGGACUCAUUAAUAUGAGUAAGUUGAUUUCAUUCGGAAUAUUGAUAUUUAAAAUUUGAAGUGUCAUUUUCUAAUAUCUCUCACAAACAACUGUGAUGCAUGGAGUCUCUGCUCUAAGCAUCCAUCUAACCAGUUCUUCUCUUCUCCAAUUUUCUAUUGACUAACCUAAUAGGAUAUUCGUUAGAUUUGAUAGGAUGGAUUAUCACAAGUCAUUAAAAUGAUAAAUUUAAAAUGAACCAUUAACAUUGGCCGCCGAUUUACCAUUACACAGAUUAUUAAAAAAAAGUUUUACAGUGUGCUUCAAAGUGUUCAAAUACUUGAACAGAGUUCUUAAACUUGCUUCUCAUGUCUUGCGGACAAAAAGGCUUACUCAGUUCCGCGUUUUCUCUCUUUUCCUGUCCAUCACAGAUCCUGAACCAAAGUCAAACACUCCUAAAAUCCCAAAGAGUGUUGUUUUCCCUGUUUUCCAACCAAGAAAUGGCUAAUCUUUUAUUGUUCAUUACUGGAUCAUUCUUCAAGCUGUGUUCUUUCAGCCUUUUGAUUCUCUUCUUGAUUUCUUGCUCAAGUUUCCCCUCAACAGGUUAGCGUAACCUUUAUUUUUAUUAUGUUUGCAAAGUUUGAAAAUAUUUGAUUGCUUUUUUGUAUUAGAAAAAGUUGGUUCUUUCUGUUUUGAUGAAAUGUGGUUUCUGUAAUCGUGUAAAAGCUCUUUCUUUUAUGGUUUUUGUGGUGUUCUUGAUGUCGAUGUUAAUGGGAUUCUAUUGGAGAAGUUGGUACAAUACACCAGUUCCCAUGCUAGUGAAUGCCAUUGGUCUGUCAUGUAUAUGACAUUAUUGGUUUAGAUAAUGUCAAAAGAUGAAUUGAAACCUUGGACCUCUUACUGUAACACCCCCUAACUCCAAACCGUCGCCGGAACAGGACUACGAGACAUUAUUGGAUAUAUCAGACAACUUAUGGAUAUUUUACAAUUAUUAUAACAUUCAUAGUAUAAUUGAAGAAUUAUGUCCCUAUAAUGGACUUUCGAAGCCCAACACAAGUAUUAAAGUGGAAUGGAACGGGACUUGUUCGAGUAUUCAGAGAUUUUUUUUUAUUUUUUUUUAUUUUUAUAAAAAUUUCGACAGCAUUUCUUCUUAAUUUUUACAUAAAACCCCCUGCAAAUUCAAAACAAAAACCAACUAAUCCAAAACCAAUGGCACAAUCAAAAACAAUUUAAACCUAAAUAUAUCUAAAUCAUAACCAAUUCAUUAACAUAGUCAUCUAAUAACUAAACAUUCAUAAUAUUAAUCCAAAUUAACUAAUAACUUCAUUCAUUUUUCAUUCCAACUUAUACCAAAUUAUAUAGUAUAAUAUUUACCAUUUUAUCAAACGAAUAACAAAAUAUGGUAUACCAUUCUUAUAACCAACUUUACAAGUAUAUCUAUAUAACUUAUACAACACCUAGUACAUGCCACUUUCAAUUAAGAAAGAAAACAUCACCCAAAAUUUGCUGGAGUCGGGAUUGUUCAGAUGCUGGACCGGGGUACUAGACUCCUAUUAACCUGCGCACGGAAACAACCGCACGCUGAGUAUUCCGUACUCAGUGGUAUUACCAUAAUUCUAAUUAUAAUAGCAAUAAAGAAUUUUAAUUACCAAACAUGUAACUAUCUAAUUUCACAAAUAUCAAUUCAUUCUUAAACUUUCAUUAAUUAAUAAUAACGAUACAAUUUUUAUCUAUUCUUCAGUUUCCAUCACAUAUUACAUGUAACAAUUUCAAUCACUACAUAAAUAUUAAGUUCAUGCCUUUCAUUUUCAAUCUCAAUUUCAAUCCACUAUUCAACUUUUUCGUUUCUUUCAAUAUUUCAAUAAUAUAAUCAAUCAAUUUAUUUUAAAUUUUUCAUUUUAGAUAUUCACCCUAUUAACAAAUCCGGACUUUGACGGAUACACGGAUUCCAACCCAACACACCAGUACGGCACAUUGUGCCUAAAACGGUACAUAGUACCUGAUCAGUAUACGACACAUAAAGUGCCUAAAAUGACACACGAGGUGCCUGAUACGACACACGAGGUGCCUGAAAUACGACACAUAAAGUGCCUGAUCAGUAAAGCCGGCAAAUUCCCGUACACUUCCAGAUCCUAUGGCAUGCCAAUUAUAUCCGACUUAGCCCGACUAGUUAAUAGGGUAUUUCAAUUCUCAAUUCACUUUCAUUUCCAUUCCAAGAUUACUUUUCAAUUAAAAUUUUCACAUUCAAAUCAAUUUACAAUUCAAUUAUACAUACACAUUCACCAUCCAAUUCAAUUCUCAUUCAACUCAAAUAUCAAUACUUACCUUAUAAUUCACUUAUUAAAUAUAGAAUUCAUAUAAAACAUUUAAUAAAAAGUAAUUUGAAUUAUAGUAAUACAAACCAUGAAUUUCUCGUUUUAAUCCUCAAUAGCUUUCUCCUUUCCUUUGUGCGCCGAUGUCUUGGGUUCUUUGUUAACUACGAAAAUAAUAAUAAUUUAUAAUCAUCAAUAUAACACAAUUCAAUUUAAUCCAUGAGCCUAAACAUGCAAAUUUAACCAUUUUUAUACACAUAAUUCCACUAUUUACUUAUAUGUUCAUUCAAAGCUGUCUACUUGAGUCAUUGUUACUAAAUCAUUUGUAUCUUGAGCUAGGAAACUCCAAAUUAAGAUCCACUAAUUUUCCCUGAAACUAGACUCACAUAUCUUCUUACCAUAAAAUUUUUAUAAUUUUUGGUUUAGCCAAUAAGUACAGUUUAUUCUUUAAAGUUGCCCCUGUUCUGCUGUCAAAUAGUUCCGACCAUUCUUCACUAAAAAUUAAUUAUAUCACAGUACAGAACUCGGAUAAUAUUCCUGUUGAUUUCUCCUGAAAAUAGAUUCAUUAAGGAUUCUAAACAUAUAACUUUAAGCCUCUAAUUAUUUUUCUUCAAUUUUUUGUGAUUUUCCAAAGUCAGAACAGGGGAACCCGAAUUUAUUCUGACCUUGUCUCACAAAAUUCAUUAUAUCUCUUAAUUUACAAUUCAAUUGCUGAUAUCGUUUCUUCUAUAAGAAACUAGACUCAAUAAUAUUUAAUUCCAUAUUUUAUUCAUCCUAUAAUUUAAUUUCUACAAUUUUUGGUGAUUUUUCAAACUUAGACUACUGCUGCUGUCCAAAAUAGUCUUAGUCCAAAAUGUUGAUUUACUUUAAUUUCAAUUUAAUCCUAACUAAAUUCACUUACUUUUCUAUCUUAAUUCAUACUUUAUUUCUAUUCAAAUUUUGUCCAAACUCAUACUUAACUAUUAAAUUUUCAGCAUAUUUUCAUAAUUUCGAAUUUAUUUCCAUUUAAUCCCUAAAACUCAAAACUUAUAGCUUAGUUUACGAUUCAAUCCUUUAUUCAAUUCCAAUCAAAAUUUCUAUCAAAUAAACCCUCAAUUCCAUCAUUUUAUUCAACAUGAACCAAACUUAGAAAUCUAAUGACUUUCAAAAUUUCUACUUAAAACAAGUACUAUUUAUCUCUAGGAUUCUAAAAACUCAAAAAUCAUAAGAAAAUGGGCUAAAUUGACUUACCAAAUUAACUUGGAACCUUUAAACCCUAUUUUCCCUUUUUCUUUUCUUUCUUUCUUUCUCCCCUGUUUCUUCUCUGUUUCGUUUCCUGCUAUUCUGUUUCCUUCCUUCUUUUUAUUCUUUUGUUUCUUUCCUUUAUUUCCUUUUUAUUUACUUUACUUUUAAUAAUAAUAAUUUAAUAUAUAUUUUAACACAUAAAAAUCUCAUAUUUUUAUGCUUAUGCCGCCUCACUUAGGACAAUUGGCAUAAUUUCCAUUUUGGUCCUCUUCAUUUUCUUUUAAUCUACAAUUUAACUUUCAUCCUUUAUUCAAUUUAGUCAUUUUUCUUAAUUACUCUUAAUUAAGCUAAAUUCACCUAAUUUAAACCUAAUUAAACACAUCGCUAAACUCAUAAAUAUUUCUAGUAAUUAUUUCGAACUCGAUUUAUUAAGACGGAGGCCUGUUAAUAUAAUUUUCCGAUGCCCGGGAAUUUUGGGUCAUUACACUUACUAUGUCUGACCAGUGCUAGUCUGAUAUAGAUUUCCUUCAUCAUUUCUUAAUCUAGGAUUAGGCCUUGGAAACGUAUUUAUUUUAUUUUUUGUUAACUCUUUUACUUCAUGGUCAGAAGCCUAUGAUCCUCUGGACCCAAAUGGGAAUAUCACAAUCAAAUGGGAUAUCAGGAGCUGGACGUCUGAUGGCUAUGUUGUAAGUAUUUUUUUUCUUUGUAUUACAAAAUAUUACAACUAUGGUUUUGCUUAACAUAGAAAAAUGAAGAAACAAUGGUUUAGAGAGCAUGAUAUGCAUUGGACGAAGAUGGGAUUAACUUCUUAAUGAAAUGAGCAGGCAGUGGUUACAAUUUAUAAUUUCCAGCAAUACCGUCAUAUACAAGCACCAGGGUGGAAACUAGGUUGGACAUGGCCUAAGAAGGAGGUGAUUUGGAGCAUGAUGGGAGGGGAAACAACUGAACAAGGGGAUUGUUCAAGAUUCAAAGGUAACAUUCCACAUUGCUGUGCACCCAACUGUUGUGGAUUUAUUGCCAGGAACUCCUUACAAUCAGCAGAUUGCAAAUUGCUGUAAAGGGGGAGUGCUAAACUCAUGGGCACAAGAUCCAGCCACUGCAGCAAGCUCAUUCCAGCUGAGUGUAGGUCAAUCCGGUACUACAAAUAAGACAGUAAGAGUUCCUGUGAACUUCACUUUGAAGGCACCAGGGCCCGGUUAUACUUGUGGACCAGCAAAAAUUGUGAAACCCAGUAGAUUUGUUACUCCGUAUGGAAGAAGAGAAACACAAGCUAUGAGUAAGUUGCUUGAUUAAGAUGUAGAAUGCCUACAUGAAUCAGUAUAAAUGGUUGUAAUUGACUCUACUUCUUUAUGACAGUGACAUGGAAUGUUACAUGCACAUAUUCACAAUUCCUAGCUCAGGAAGCACCUAGUUGUUGUGUCUCUUUCUCAUCCUUCUACAAUGACACCAUAGUACCGUGCUCUAAAUGUGCUUGCGGCUGCCAAAAUACUUCUCAGCCAGGGAGCUGUGUGGAGUAAGUUGGCUCAGCCGAAAAGAUACUUAUACGUAGGAGUUUUUUUAGCUGGAGAUGCCUUUCUAUCUUAUUUUGUUUAUUGCUUCCUAAAGCCUUUUGUUGUUAAUGUGCAGGUCAAAAGCUUCACAUAUAGCGCUGGUUGCUAACAGCUAUACACCUUUGGUCCGAUGUACAAGCCAUUUGUGGCCGGUGAGAGUUCAUUGGCAUAUUAAGCUUAACUACAAGGAGUACUGGCGGGUUAAGAUCACCAUUACUAAUUUCAAUUACAACAUGAACUAUACAGAGUGGAACUUAGUUGUGCAACAUCCCAACUUUGACAAUCUGACUCAGAGUUUCAGCUUUAACUAUAAGUCCAUAACACCAUAUACAGCAAUAAGUAAGUUGAAUCCAUCUUGGUCACUUUUGCAUAUGUUUCUUGCUCUUUGCGGCUUAUGUUUGCUUAUUUUAUUCAACAGACGAUACUGCCAUGUUAUGGGGUGUUAAAUUCUACAAUGAUAUGCUUUUGGAAGCUGGUCCACUUGGUAAUGUGCAAUCAGAGUUACUUUUCCGAAAGGAUAAAGCAACUUUCACUCUUGAGGAAGGUUGGGCUUUUCCGAGAAGGAUCUAUUUCAAUGGAGAUAAUUGUGUUAUGCCACCUCCUAAUGUUUAUCCUGGGUUGCCUAAUUCCUGUUCCCACCAGCUUACCUCCGCACUUGGUCUGUUGGUGACUCUCUUGGCAGCUAUGGCGUUAUUAUUUGGACAUGCAUGAACAUCAAUCAUUUUUAUUCUAUAACAACUGGUAUAUACUAGUUUGACCGAAUCAAUUCAACUAUAGAACAUAGGAUUGGCAUUUCAAGGUGAAGGUGCUUUCUAUUUGAUGUAUGGUUAGCUAAUUCACUAUGAUUUGAUCAUUUGUGCUGUUGUAUGCAUGUUCAUUUCUGUACUUAGCCAUCUUGAUUGUAGAAUUUCCUCCAUAUUUUACUACAGUGGUAACAAAAUAAGUCAUUAAUCAAAAUUUUAGCUGAUUCAUAUAGUGAUUAUUUUGUUGUAAAUCUUAUUUCUACUUAAAAGAGUUAUAAUAUUUCUUUUUGGUAGAAAAUAAUUUUGCUUUUUAUUAUUAUUAUAAAUUUUAUAUAUAAUCAAAAUCAAAAGAAAGUAUAAAUUUAAAGACUAAAAUUAUUAUUAAACCAAUUAAAAAAGUAUCGCUUAAGGACAAGGUUACAAUAAAUAAUUUCUGAUUUACUUUAUAUUUCACUAUUGAUCUAUAAAAUUCAUAAGUUGUCUUUUACUCUCCAUUUUCUUUGUUUUUUUAUUUUCUAUCUUUUUAUUUUCAUAACACUUUCAACAAAUUUUAAAUAUUGUUUCAACUUAUUAUUAUUUUUUACAAUUUUUUAGAUUAUUUAUAUAAUUUAGUUUUUUAUUUUAUUUUAUAUAAUUUAAAAGAAAAAUAGCCAUCGACUCUAAGAAAUACACGGAAAUAUUUGUUAUGAAGGGGCGCAUACAACUUUGCUGACAUACCCAGAUUCCCUUGUGCUACAAUUUUGUUACAAAAUCCCUUUUCCGAUUCAUUGAAACAAUUUCGAAAAUUGUAAAAUUGUGUACUUUCUCGCUGUCAUUUGUGCUCAUACAACAUGAGAAACGAUCACCAAAAGGUUACAAAUAAGAAAAACAUUGCAGCAAUGAAUGUAAAGCUGGUGAAGGAUAGGUGUUGAUGGGCAGAGUUUGGUAGAAAUGGGUAUGUAUCAGGUGGAGGGAGCAUGCAUUCAUCACCAUUGAAAUACACUUUCCUGGGAAAUGCCCAUCCUUGUUUGAAAGUAAAGGUAUCCUUGUCCUUCCUCAGAAGCACCUCUGAUUGAACAUUUCCUAAUGGCCCUGCUUCCAUCAACAGGUCAUUGUAGUACUUCAUGCCAUAGAACAUCCCUGUGUCAUCUGCACAUGGACAAAAUAGCUAUGAUUUUAAGUAUCUGUUUAUAAUUAGACUGUGAUGAUAAAUGCAAGCAAAAAGCUGUCAACAAACUUACUGAUUGAUUCAUAAGGAACCAGCGGCUUGUAAUCGAAGCUGAAAACUUGUGUUACGUUGUUAAGAUUAGGGUGCUGGACAACAAGGCUCCAUAGCGUGUAGUUCAUCCGGUAGUUGAAGUUGGUAAUCGAUACCUUAACUCGCCAGUACUCUUUGUAGUUGAGCUUGACAUGCCAGUGUACUCGCACAGGGCACAUGUGGUGCGUGCAUUGAAGCAGUGGAGCAUUAUCUUUCCUUGGUGUGUUCAAUCCUACCAUUUUAAGAAACUUGGAAUCACUCCUGCAACAUUGCAUUCAUUGUGAGAUUUCGAUGUUCAUGAUAUCUGUAAAUAAAUCGAGUUUAAGCAUUCAGGAAUGGAAUGUCAGCUUACUUGACACAGUUGUUCUUGUUCUGGCAUCCACAUGCACAAGUUGGGCAAGGAGUGAUGGUUUCAUUGUAGAAAGACGAGAAAGAGACACAACAAUUCGGGUUUUUCCGAGCUAGAAAUUGCGAAUAAGUGCAGGUCACAUUCCAUGUCACUGUAGCAUAGAAUAUUGAAACAGAUCAAUCUAAUUGCAACAAUUAGGUAAAAUCCAGAUCGUGUGAGACAAAAAGGACUUACUUAGGGCCUGAGUUUUUCGUCGGCGAUCUGGGGUGAGAAAAGUGGUCGAUGGCACGACCUUUGCAGGACCACAAGUGUAACCUGGUCCCGGACCAAGUAAAGUGAAGUUCUUGGGAAGUUUGACAGUCUUGUUUGAAGUACCGGCUAAUCCAACACUAAUUUGGAAAGCAGAGACAGCAGAUUGAGGAUCUUGACCCCAUGCUGCAAGCACUCCACCUUUGCAGCAAUUGGUGAAUUGUUGAUUGUAGGGAACACCAGGGAGCAAGUCUACAACCGUGGGGGUUUUCUUGCAGCAGUGAGGUAUAUUUCCUUUGAACUUUGAGCAAUCACCUUGCUCAGUAGUUUGAGCCCCUACCAUGGACCAUAUUACUUCUUUCUUAGCCCAUGUCCACCCCAAGGUCCAACCAGGACUCAUGAUGUGCCGAUACAUUUGAAAAUUGUUCAUUGUAACCACUGCCUGUAAGAUAAUCAUUGGCACAAGAAGCUCAGAUAUAUUAUAUAUAUAGCUAUGACCGGUGCAACUUACAUUAUUCUGGAUACAUAUUUAGCACUCACCACAUAGCCAUCAGGCGUCCAAGACACAAUAUCCCAUUUGAUUGUUACAUUUCCAUUUGGAUCCAAAGGAUCAUAUGCAGCUGCAACAACAAAGCAAAGAAAUUAAAUGCAAGGCAAUUGAAUAAACAUUAAAAAAAAAAAAGCUGUGGGAACUGAAUAAAUGUUCACCUGCAUAAGAAAAGAGGACAAAAAGAAACAAAACUGAGAUGAAAAACUUCAUCUCUAUGGACUUGUAGCAAUGGCGAGACUCAGGUUCUGAUUUGAAGCAAUAUUCCGACAAUUGCUGAAUGCAGACUACUCUUUAUGAAUUUUCUUCCGACACUGCAAUGGCAGCUAUCAUUAGUAAGAAGAAAAGUUGGUAGUGUUGUUUUGAGUGCUAAGAAAGAUAGAGAAAAAUUUCCCACAUUUCCAAUAUUGGAAGAGUUAGGAAGACGGCUUACCAACUGGUUGUUAAGUGCUUGUAUUUUGAGUGUGUGUGUAUAUAUAUUUUCUUUCGGGAUUUUUCGCUUUCCAUAACUUGAAGCAACUGCUAGGUUGCGCUAAAGCUGGGGGCUUAAGAGUUGUCUGAGCACAACAUCUCAACGGCCCCCGUUGAGGGUGACCUUUUACAGGCUUUUAACCACACAAGACAUUUCCAGAAGCCUGGCUUUGUUCUUUAUUUUGGAAAUCUGUGGAACAUGUAAAAUUGAAGACAAAUAUAGGGUAUUUGAGUUUGGACUGGUCUGCUCAGUAAGUAAUCAUAUUCAAGUGUAGGUGUCGUUGAAUUUCACGCUACCUUUUGUCUGCUUAAAACCCAUUUGUAGUUUGAUUUUCAGUAAACACCUGCAUAGGAAAUCAUUAUGAUUCAAAAGCUUUGAUUUUUUGUUGCCAAGUUUUUCGUAGAAUUCAGAAGGAAGAGUUUGAGUUAGAGGCAAGUAAACAGUGUAGGGACAAGUAGCCAGAUAAUACAUCAAAUCAUACAAUUUCCCUAUGCUUCAAUGCUAUACUUUUUUCACAUUAUUCUUUUAUUCUGAGACCUUCUUUUCUUCAAGAAGAAACUACCACAACAUGGUUUCCUAAAGGUUAUUGGUGCAACUAGAAAAUUCUCAGAACUAUUAACAAAUCAAUUAGCACAACUUUAUUAUGCUGUAGUUGAAAAUUACUAACCUCCUUAAGCUUAUUUAUUAACUGAAUUUUAAAUAACAAUAUAAAUUUACUCUUUAGUAAUUAUUAUUAUUAUUAUAUUCAUUUUUUAUUUAAUUAAAAGUAAUAAACUUAUAAUCAGUUAUAAAUUUAUUUUAAUUAUUAUUAAAUGAUAAAUUAGAUCAUAUUCUAAUUCUAAUAUAUAUAUUGUAAACCUAACAUUAAUGAUAAUUAUAUUUUCUUUUUGUCCUUUUUUUUUACUUUUUUUAUUUUUUAAUAUUAUUUAUGCAAAUAUAUGUUAAAUAUUUUAAACUUAAUUUUAAUUCAAUUAUAUAUAUUGGAUUUUUUUCUUUAUUUCUUUAUUUUAACCAAUUUAUUUUUCAUUAAAUUUUUUUAAAUAAUAGUAACUAAUUAAUUUUAAAUAAAAAUGAUUAAUGUUAAUAUAUAAUUGGAUUAAAUAUAGGUUAAAAAUGUUUAAUUUUACUUGAAUUUAAAGAUAAUUUAAUAAUAAUUUUAUUUUACAGUACUUCAAUAUAAUUUUUAAAGUAUUUGUUUCUAAAAAUUUUCAAGAUGAACAUCAAGAUUUGAAUUCUUGAAUUCAAAAGUUUUAUAAGAGUUUAAAAUAAAAUGAAAAAUUUGACUUUUGGCACCUUUAAUAUUUAUAAUAUUUUAAAUUAUUAUAUGAAAAGAUUACACUUUGAAUCCUAAAAAUGAUAAAAAAAAAAUUUGAUUUAGUUUUUUGAAAAUUAUAAAUAUAUAAGCUAUUAAAAUGGUGAAAUUAUAUUUUGACUAUCAUAAAAAUAUACAACUUAAUUUUGCCUCCAAACAAAAAUUGGCUUCACCCCUGAAUAUAUUGAAAUAAUUUGUAUAACGUUUGACAAGUUCGGAUACAAAUUUAGGAAAAGAGUUAAGUUGAGUAUCAAAUUGGACCUUCAAAAAGAUGAAGUGUCAACUCAUUUUUUUUUUUUUAAAAAAAAGUGUUUAAGUUCAAAUACUAAAUUAAGAAAAAAUUUCAAGUUCCAAAUAUUACAUUAAACCUUAAAUUAAUUAGUUGGUUAAGAGCAUGUAAGUAGAACUCUUAUUUAAUAAAUUGUAAAGAAGACCUACUUUAAAUAUUUUAUUUGGCGAAUUUUAAGCGUUAAUUUAAUCAUUUUCAGAGCUUCUUGAGAGUUUUGUAACAAGUUUGACCACCAUUUCUACUAAAAGCCAUGCCACAGGAUCCAAACUUGCACUCCAAAUGAUUUAUCUUAUUAUUUUAUUUCUUAGAAUCAACUAAUUUAAUUGCUUAUGUACAAUUAAAUAAAAACUAUGUAACUUUAACUUUUCCUUUUAAUAAAAUACUCUAAGGAAGUUUUUUUUUUCAAUACAACAAAACUUCGAUAAAUGAAUACUUGAUAAAUUAAUAAUUUUGGUUAAAUAAUAAUUUUGUCCGGUCCCGACUUGGGCCAAGUGGAUAAAAUAAUAUAGCUAAAUGCAUAAGAUAAUAAUUUUUAGAAAAGUCCUUAAUGACCCAAUAAAAAUAUAAAAUAAUAAUUCAUUAAAUAUAAUAAAAAUUUUAUAUACAAUAUAUAAAACUAAAGUGCUUUAUAGACAACCCUUUUUUGGAUUUUUAAUACAUGGUUAAAAUUUUAAAUCUAUUCUAUGAAUAUAUACGUAUUGAAUUUUGAAACCAUUAGCUAUUUUUUUUUCUUUUUGGUUACAUGAACCAAUUACUAAACUCUUUUUUUUACAUGAAUAUAUUUAACAUUAAUAUAUAUGUAUAAAGUGACGUCGAUAAUAAAUGUUAACUGUUCUAAUAAUUCUAGCAUCACAUGAUUUGAAUUUUUUAUGUUGAAUUUGGAGGUAAAAAAUAAUAAUUCAUCGUUUCUCAAGCCUUCAAUAACAUUGGGAUGGGUUGGGCAAUUGUCGACUAUAAGCAACACCUUUCUACCAAUCAUUCUAGCAUCAAACCAGCAAAGAAAAUCUUGAAAAAAUAAUCCAGUCAUCUAUAUUUUUCAAUACAUAAAACGUUAGAAUUAUUCUUUUUGCCUUCCAAUACAUGUUAAAAGUUUUAAUCUAUCUAAUGAAUAUAUAUACAUAUUGGUUGAAAUCAUUAACUUUUUUUUUCUUUUUGGUUACAUGAACCAAUUAAUUAGCUCUUUUUUUUUUGUUACAUGAAUCAAUUAACUUUGAUUCAUUGCGCCUACAUGCAUAUUGGGUUUUGAUAAUAAUAAAAACUCAUGCAUAAAGUAUGAAAUAUUCUUUAAAUUAAUAUAAAUUAAUAAAAUAUUCAUUUAUCAAUAAACUAAUAACCUCGAUAAAAUAAUAAUUUUUCGGAUCCCAAGAGUAUUAUUUUAUAGAUAUUUUACUAUAUUUUUUUCUUGAUAGUAAUUUCAAGUCAAUUCUUUAAUGAUUGUUGCUAGAAUUCUUCAUAACUUCAAUUUCACUAAUUAUUAAAAGGUUGUUUGAAGUCCAUUGUUGGUGUUGAAUCCAAGCAUCAAAAGGGGAUUAUAUCAUAUAUCCAACUUCAUCCAUCUUUAUUCAUCCUAACUUCGUCAAAUUUAAUUUCAUUUUUCCACAAAUCCAUCCAAUUUUUACUUCUUGUUCUUAAAAUCUAAAAUUUAUUUAUCUUUGAUUCUUACUUUUGUUUUUAAUUUUCAAAUUUCAAUUCCCUAGAAGGAUCUCCUUGCCACAAGCUUUCUUGCAUCUCAAGAAAGAUAUUUGUUCCAUGAGCUUGAGAAUUUUUCUUCUAGCUUUCUAAUUCUCAUUCUUUAAUUGAUUUUCCAACGUAUUAUCAAUAUUUAAUCUCCAUUCUCUGCUAGACUUUUCAAAGAUUAAUUGAAGCUUGCAUAUCAAGUCAUUAGAAAGUGUCUAACAUUAGGAUCACUUUGAGUUCAUUCUUCCAUAUUACAAUUUGAUCCAGGAUUCCACAUCAUGACCCAUGGCUCAAGGGCUACACUAACACACGUGUCAACAAAAUCACAUGAGGAACCUAUUUGGUAGUAUGUAUAUAUAGGCUAUUGCUCACCAAGAAUAAAGAAAACUCACUUUUUGUUCAUUAAACUCUUGACACUUGGCUUUGUGAACCGUCCAUCAUUGAAUUCCAUCUUCCCCUUUUCUUUGUCCUUCUCUUUCACACAAUCAACAUCAACAAAUUAAAAUCAAGUACCAUUAUUGAUUUCAUGGUUUCUUUCUUUACCAGGUUUCUUGAAAAUUCAAUGUCCAUAGUCUUGGUGCAUUGAUGGUGUUUAAAAGGAUGAGAGUAGUCACAUUUGUGCUAUGUUUUUGGGGACCUGUUCAGACAAUGGAUGAAAAUGUGUGUGAAUUGAUGGGUAUGAAAGUUGUGGUGGAGGUGUUAAUGGAAAAGGAAAGCUAACAUUUUUUAUCUUAGUAAUAAUUUGUUGCCUUGAAGCAGGUGAUGUUCAGUUGGUUAAUAUCCCUAUGGAGGCUAAUGCUAUAGCAAAUAUCGUCACAAAGGAAGGAUCUAAACUAGAAAAUAUGUUUGUUGGACGGUAGUAACUUAUAGUAGAGAGUUUUCUUCUUUAAUCAACUCUGCAGUGUUUUUAUGUUUCCUUUUUAUGUUGUUGUGUUUUUGGUACUUCAACCAAAUCCUCUUUUACUCAGAAAGAAAAACAUAUUGUAUUCAUCAAACGCUAUUAUGAAUGAUCACAUACUCCUUUUAAUUACUCAAUAGUAGAUUUCUUAAAUUUGGUCUGUAAUUGAUGUUGUUAGAAUAUGGCUUACAUGCAGACUAAGGCAAUUCGAUCCAUGCAAGUAGUAGCUGAAGCAUAUGCUACUAUUUUGUUACUUUUCAGUUAAUGUCUUGUUGCUUAGUUAGAUUAGAACUAAGUUAGUGACAUGCUUUAUGUAAUUUGGUGCCGAUAGAUUUGAUAAAUCAGCUUAACUAAUAGUGCAAGCAAAGUUUUUCUAAGUUUCAACAAUGUGUUAGUGGAGUUAGGUAUGUUUAGGUAACAUUUUCAUUUUUGACAAGCUGAUUGCUUGGUAUAUGUAAUGAUAUUUGCUCUUAAUGAAAUGAUGAUGAAUCUUUCUACAAAUUCUUCUUCUUCGUUUGGUUUUCUGUCAAGCAUUCUGUUCUUAUAACUUAAGCUUAAUUUCUUUGUUUGUUUAUCAAGAUAUUGUAGCUUAAAGCUUAAGUUUCAGUUGAAAUUUCUUAUUCUAUUUUCUAAGAUCCAAUAAUUGGUAUCGAGAGCUGAUUUCUUAGAGGACCUUUCUCUUUUCUAUUCUCAAAAGUAUUCUCUUCAUCAAGUUUCUCUCUAACACCACCACCAGUGUUCAGUGGCGAAGGCUACCACAUUUGGGUAGUGAAAAUGAAGACCUAGAGGUUGUCAAUGCUGAUGUUGAACCACCACCCUUGAGAGCUAACACCACGAUAGCUUAGAUCAGGCAGCACUCUGAUGACAGAGCCAAGAGGUACAACGUGUUGGAAUAUUUUCAAAUAUUUAUAGUAUCCCAAUAACUAUAAAUGAAUGGGUGUAAUUAAUCAAAAGAUAAAACUUUUGGUCAUUGGUCAAAAGUUAUAUCAUUUGAUUUUUUAAAAAAGAAUUAUAACUAUUCAAAAAAUAUUAUUUGAAUAGUUACAAAAUUAAAUGAAUAAUUAUUAUUAUUUAUUUAUUCAUAAAGACACCUAUUGAAAGAUGUCUCUAUGAAGAGACAUGAAAAUUCCUAUAAAUAGGAAUGGGAUUUCAUUUGGAAAUCAUAUCAACAAAUUCUAAUAUUAUUUCUUCUCUUCCUUCAUUUUCUAAUAUUAUUAGAUUAUUCUAUAAAGUAUUGCUGCAGAAAUCCUUUGUAGAAAUUGAGUUUUUGUUAUACAUUACUCAGUGCAUAGUGGACUAUUCUCGUCAGUGCAAAACGCAAAUAGUCAUUGGCUUCAUUGUAUCCUCGAGGUUAAUUUGCUUGGAACUCGUUUGCACACUGAAGAUAAGUGGGGGCGAAUAUAACCUUAAAGAUAGUGGCUUGAUACACGCCUUGGAGCCUGUCCUAUUUCUUCUUUUUCUUUUCGAGUUUCGAUCGUGUGUUCGAGUUUUUUCCUUACCGGAGUUUUGUACUAACAAUUUUAAGGUUAUAUUUCAUGAUGACUACCACAACACAUGAAAGUGGAACACUAAGGGAGUUGGCUUCCAACUUUGUUAAACUUGAUCGUUUUGAUGGUGGCAAUUUUCGACGAUGGCAGAAAAAGAUGCACUUUUUGUUAUCAACUUUGAAGAUUGCUUAUGUUUUGGAUACUCCAAGACCUGAAGAGAAUGAAAAUGAAUCAGUUGCUGCAACCCGAGAAAGACAAAAAUGGGACAAUGCUGAUUACAUGUGCAUGGGCCACAUAUUGAAUGGUUUAUCUGAUGGUUUGUUCGACACCUACCAAAACGACGUCACCGCUAAAGAAUUAUGGGACAAAUUGGAGGCAAGAUACAUGACCGAAGAUGUUACAAGUAAGAAAUUUCUUGUCACUCGUUUCAAUAAUUAUCAAAUGGUUGAUGGUCGUUCUGUUAUGGAACAAUUUCGUGAUAUUGAAAAGAUGCUGAAUCAAUUUAAGCAAUAUGAUAUGAAAAUGGAUGAAAUGAUUGUGGUAUCCUCCAUAAUAGACAAACUUCCUCCAUCUUGGAAAGACUUUAAAAGAAGUCUAAAACAUAAGAAAGAGGAAAUAUCUCUUGAGGCUUUGGCAAAUCAUCUUCGUAUUGAAGAAGAGUAUCGAAAACAAGAUCAGAACCUAAAUUCUGAAAAUGCCAAAGUACAUGUUACAGAGGAAGUACAGACUACUAAACCAUUCAAGAGAAAGUUCAAUCAGACUGAUAGAGCACCUAAGUUCAAAAAGAAAUAAAAGGGCUCAUGCUAUCAUUGUGGAAAGCCGGGACAUUUCAAGAAUGAAUGUCGAUUUUUAAAGAAGAAAUCAUCUUCUAAGGCUGAUAAUAACAAAAAGUUCGUUGCAAUGAUAUCUGAAAUUAAUAUGGCACAAGAUGAUAAUACAUGGUGGAUUGAUACCGGAGCAACCAAACAUGUGUGCAAAGACAAAAGCAUGUUCACAAAGUUCACACAAUGUGAAAAUGACAAUGUCUUAUACAUGGGAAAUUCUUCCACCGCAACAAUUAAAGGCAAAGGGUCUGUUGAACUACAAUUCACUUCUGGAAAGGUUUUAACCUUAAAUGAUGUAUAUUAUGUACCAGAAGUUAGGAAAAAUUUAGUGUCUGGAAGUCUGUUGAAUAAGUUUGGUUUCAAACUUGUUUUUGAGGCAGAUAAGUUUAUUUUGUCUAAGGGAGGAAUUUUUGUGGGAAAAGGGUAUAUGUAUGAAAGCAUGUUCAAACUUAAUAUUAUUAAUAAGAAUAAAAAUACUAUUUCUGCUUAUAUGGUUGAAUCAUUUUGUUUGUGGCAUUAUAGAUUAGGUCAUUUGAAUUAUAGAAAAUUGAAUGACAUGUAUAAAUUAGAUUUAAUUCCUGUUUUUAAUAAUAAUAUUGAAAAAUGCAAUACCUGUAUGUUGACUAAAAUUACAAGAAAUCCUUUCCCUAAGGUUAAAAGGAAAACAAAAUUGCUUGAUUUGAUACAUAGUGAUUUAUGUGACUUGCAUAAUACUCCUACAUUAGGUGGAAAGAAAUAUUUUGUUACUUUUAUUGAUGAUUGUUCUAGAUAUUGUUAUGUAUAUUUAUUGCAUUCAAAAGAUUAAGCGCUUGAUAAAUUUAAAGUUUAUAAAUCUGAAGUUGAACUUCAGUGUGAAUCAUUUAUCAAGUGCUUAAGAUCGGAUAGAGGUGGAGAAUACUAUAAUCCAAGUUAUUUUGAACUCACUGGAAUUGUCCAUCAAGUUUCAGCCCCUUACACACCACAACAAAAUGGUGUAGCUGAAAGGAAAAAUAGAGUCUUGAUUGAAAUGGUAAAUUCAAUGUUAUCAUAUUCAGGUCUUGGAUAGGGUUUUUGGGGAGAAGCUGUUCUAACAGCUUGUCAUAUAUUGAAUAGAGUUCCUAAUAAGGAAACUAAAAUAACCCCCUAUGAACAAUGGAAGAAAAGGAAACCAAACCUUAAUUAUUUAAAGGUUUGGGGUUGUAGAGCUAUUGUAAAAGUUCCAACACCUAAACGUAAAAAGUUAGGUGAAAGAGGAAUUGAAUGCAUAUUUAUAGGUUAUGCACAUAAUAGCAAGGCAUAUAGGUUCAUAGUAAUUGAACCAAAUGAUUCAAUUUCAAUUAAUACGGUUAUUGAAUCAAGAGAUGCUAUUUUUGAUGAAAAUAGAUUUAAUUCUAUAUCAAGACAAUUACAACUACAACAAUUGAUUCAUUCUUCAAAUGAGAAUGAGAUUCCAUUGAAACAAAUUGAUAAUACUGAUGAAUCUUGUCAAGAAUUAAGAAGAAGUAAGAGGAUUAAAAAGGUCAAAGAUUUUGGACCAGAUUUCAUUAUGUUUCUUGUAUAAGGAAAAGGUGAAAGUAUAUGCAAUAAGAUACCUUAUUAUUAUAAUACCGAAUCUGAUCCUAUUACAUUUGAAGAAGCAGUGAAAUCUCAAGACUCUGCUUUUUGGAAAGAAGCAAUAAAUGAUGAAAUGGAUUCAAUAAUGGGAAAUCAAACUUGGAUCUUAGUUGAUCUUCCACCAGGUUCCAAACCAAUAGGUUGUAAAUGGAUCUUCAAAAAGAAAAUGAAGGUCGAUGGAACCAUUGAUAAAUUUAAAGCAAGGUUGGUAGCAAAAGGUUUUACACAAAGACAAGGUAUUGAUUACUUUGAUACCUAUGCUCCAGUAGCAAGAAUUGCUACAAUUAGACUAUUAAUAUCACUUACCUCUAUAUAUAAUUUGGUUGUUCACCAAAUGGAUGUUAAAACUGCAUUUUUAAAUGGUGAAUUGGAAGAGGAAGUGUACAUGGAGCAACCGGAAGGAUUUGUUGUUCCAGGACAAGAGCAUAAGGUAUGUAAGCUUGUUAAAUCUUUAUAUGGGCUUAAACAAGCACCAAAACAAUGGCACCAAAAGUUUGACAAGGUUGUUUUAGCUAAUGGCUAUAAAAUAAAUGAAUCCGAUAAGUGCAUAUAUAGUAAAUUUGAUAAUGGAAAGGGUGUUAUAAUUUGCUUAUAUGUAGAUGACAUGCUCAUUUUUGGCACGGAUUUGGAACAAAUAGAAAACACAAAGAAAUUCUUGUCAAACAACUUUGCUAUGAAGGAUAUGGGUGUAGCAGAUGUUAUUCUUGAGAUUAAAAUAACCCGAGAUGAAAGCACUAUAGCUUUAUCACAAUCACAUUACAUUGAAAAUGUGCUUAAAAAGUUUGAUCUUUUCAACUGUAUACCAGCAUCUACACCCAUGGAUCCUCAAUUAAAAUUAGUAUCUAAUGCUGGUAGGAAAAUUGAUCAAUUGAAAUAUGCAAGUCUAAUUGGUUGUCUUAUGUACAUAAUGACUUGUACAAGACCAGAUAUUGCAUAUGCUAUUGGAAAAUUGAGUAGAUACACAAGUAAUCCAAGUAGUUUGCAUUGGCAAGCUUUAAAUAGAGUACUUAGGUACUUAAAGAAAACUAUUAACUAUGGAUUGUGUUAUAAUGGAUAUCCUCCAGCUUUAGAAGGGUAUUCGGAUGCUAGUUGGAUUACAAGUUUGGAAGAUCAUGCAUCUACUAGUGGGUGGAUCUUCAUUCUUGGUGGAGGAGUCAUUUCUUGGGGUUCCAAGAAACAAACAUGUAUUACUGAUUCCACCAUGGCAGCAGAAUUUAUUGCAUUAGCUGCUGCAUCUAAAGAAGCAGAAUGGUUAAAAAAUUUACUUUAUGAUGUACCUUUAUGGCUUAAGCCAAUUUCACCUAUUUCUAUCCGUUGUGAUAGUGAGGCUACUCUAACAAAGGCAUAUAGCCAAGUAUAUAAUGGAAAGUCUAGACACAUUGGAUUAAGAAAUAGUUAUGUCCGACAAUUAAUCUCUGAUGGAGUGAUCACUAUUAAUUAUGUGAGGUCAAGUGAAAAUUUGGCAGAUCCUUUGACAAAAAGUCUUGCUAGAGAUGCAGUAAAAAGGACCUCAAAAGGGAUGGGACUCAAGCCUAUUAAUUAGAGUCACCCAUGAUGGAAACUCGACUCAACGCUUGGUAUAACGUCAAGUCUUGAGUUCAAUGAGACAAAGUACAUCAUUAGUAUGUGACUGUUAGCACUAUAAAUAAAUCCAUCCUAAGAUUAAAGUGCUAGGUACCCGUAAUGAUAAGGGAAGGAUGAGUAAUGUACUCUUAAUGGACCCAUAACAUAAAUAUGUUAGAGUGUUAUAAUUACGGGAACACUUUUGAUGGGAUCUACCUAUGUGAGUGGAAGUGUGGCCGCUUCUAGGAGCUUAAGGGCUUGGCUCUGACAGCACUCAUGAAAAGAGGACAUAGACACAUGGCUAUAAUAGUGUCCCUAGAUACUAUGCAUUGACUGAUGUUGAAAUCAUUGUGUGAGAUGUGUUCAGUUAAUCAAAUGGAAUAGUUGGUUCAAAGCUUAGUCUACCAUACAAUUUCGAUUAACUUUAACAUGUUUUCACUAAGUGAAGGUUCAAUCGUAAGACACCUUUAUUUAUGCAAAUUGAUUUCCAAGAAUAUCAAAAUCUAAAUAUUUUGAAAAUGGGGGGAGAUUGUUGGAAUAUUUCAAAUAUUUAUAGUAUCCCAAUAACUAUAAAUGAAUGGGUGUAAUUAAUCAAAAGAUAAAACUUUUGGUCAUUGGUCAAAAGUUAUAUCAUUUGAUUUUUUAAAAAAGAAUUAUAACUAUUCAAAAAAUAUUAUUUGAAUAGUUACAAAAUUAAAUGAAUAAUUAUUAUUAUUUAUUUAUUCAUAAAGACACCUAUUGAAAUAUGUCUCUAUGAAGAGACAUGAAAAUUCCUAUAAAUAGGAAUGGGAUUUCAUUUGGAAAUUAUAUCAACAAAUUCUAAUAUUAUUUCUUCUCUUCCUUCAUUUUCUAAUAUUAUUAGAUUAUUCUAUAAAGUAUUGCUGCAGAAAUCCUUUGUAGAAAUUGAGUUUUUGUUAUACAUUACUCAGUGCAUAGUGGACUAUUCUUGUCAGUGCAAAACGCAAAUAGUCAUUGGCUUCAUUGUAUCCUCGAGGUUAAUUUGCUUGGAACUCGUUUACACACUGAAGAUAAGUGGGGGCGAAUAUAACCUUAAAGAUAGUGGCUUGAUACACGCCUUGGAGCCUGUCCUAUUUCUUCUUUUUCUUUUCGAGUUCCGAUCGUGUGUUCGAGUUUUUUCCUUAUCGGAGUUUUGUACUAACACAACGCAAUGUCUUGCAUUCAAAACAGUGUGUCAGACUUGAUUUUCACAAGGAUUAUAGCCUGUGAGACUCCAAAACAGGCUUGGGACAGGCUCAAAGAGGAGUUUCAAGGAACUGAAAAAACAAGACAGCAACAACUCUUGAAUUUGAGAAGGGACUUUGAAAAUUUGAGGAUAAAGGAAUCAGAAACAGUUAAGCAAUAUUCAGGCAGAAUCAUGGCCAUUGUAAACAGCAUCAGACUGCUUGGAGACCAAUUCAGUGAAGCCAGAAUAGUGGAAAAGAUUAUUUCAACCUUACUUGAGAGAUAUGAAGCCAAAAUCUCUUCCUUGGAAGAUUCAAGAGAUCUAUCAAGCAUCUCUUUGACUGGGCUAAUCAAUGCUCUUUAUACUCAGUAACAAAGAAGAGCUAACAAAUAGGAGGAGCAUUAAGAAAGUGCCUUUCAAGCCAGGAGUAGACCAACCUCGAGCACAUCUGGCUACAAAGUGAAGAAAACUUGGCCAGACAGAUCAAGAAGAGAUAGAGCAAGAAGAAUGUAUCCACCUUGCUCACAUUGCAAAAGAGUUAGCCAUACUGAAGCUAACUACUGGUACAAACCUGAUGUGCAAUGCAAGGUUUGUAAACAGGUGGGCCAUAUUGAGAAGGUUUGCAAAAAAAAGGCAAGCAGAAGCAAAACUAGCAUUAACAGCUUAGAACAGAAGCUCAAAUGGUAGAAGAGGGUUGUGAUCAGGAAGAACAAGUAUUUGCUAUCUCCUGCUCGGCUGCCAGAAGAAAAACCACAAAAGGAUGGCUGAUUGACAGUGGUUGCACAAAUCACAUUACACCUGAUGCUGCUAUUUUCAAGAGCAUUGAUAGAAGUUUCAACACAAAAGUAAAAGUGGGCAAUGGACACUACAUUAAAGCAAAAGGCAAGGGAGAUGUGUUGAUUAACACUUCUUCAGCUAUCAAACUCAUUUCCAAUGUUUUGUUAGUACCUAAAAUAGAUAGAAAUCUGCUAAGUAUUACUUAACUUGUUGAAAAAGGAUACACAGCUCUUUUCAAAGGAAAAGAAUUCCUGAUUAGUGAUCCAAGUGGAUCCAAACUCAUGUCAGUAACCAUGACUAACAGAAUUUUUAUUGUAGAUUGGAACAAACGUUCAGAUAGUGCCUACACAACUAUCUUAGAUGAGUCUAAACUGUGGCAUAAAAGAUUAGGCCAUGUCAACUAUAAGUCUCUACUUCAUUUGUCUAAAGAAGACUUGGUUGAAAAUUUCACAAUAACAAUUGAAAAAGAGGAUGUUUGUGAAGUAUGUCAGCUAGGAAAGCAAGCUAAACUACCAUUUCCUACAAACAUGGCUUGGAGAGCUUCUGCAAAGUUGCAGUUAGUCCAUAUUAAUGUAUGCGGCCCUAUAAAGACACAAUCCUUGAAUGGUAGCAGGUACUUCAUUCUUUUCAUUGAUGAUUAUUCAAAAUUAUGUUGGAUUUACUUCCUAAAGCACAAGUUAAAAGUAUCCGUGUUUUGGAAAUUCAAGGCUGCAACAGAAACUCAAUCAGGUUACAAGCUCAGAACACUAAGGUUAGACAAUGGCACAGAGUACACUUUAGCAAUGUUUCAAAGUUUUUGUGAAGAAUCAGGGAUCAAACACUAGCUCACAAACACCUACACACCUCAACAAAAUGGUUUCAGUGAGAGGAAGAAUGGAACUUUGAUGGAUAUGGUCAGAUGUUUGAUGUUUGAGAGGAAUUUGCCUAAAAGUUUUUAGGCUGAGGUAGUGAACACUGUAGUUUACCUUCAAAAUAGGCUACCAACCAAGGCAUUAUUUUAAAAAACACAAUUUGAGACCUGGUUUGGGUUCAAACCAUCAGUUUCUCAUCUAAAGGUCUUUGGUUGCAUAUGUUAUGCACACAUAACUGUAGUCAAGAGGGACAAAUUGGCAAAAAAAGACUCAGUGUAGCAUUCUAGUCGGCUAUAGCAGUGUCAAGAAGGGCUACAGAAUUCUGGAUCCUACAACUUACAUAGUUUUUGUGAGUAGAAAUGUUGUAUUUGAUGAGAGGUCAAGCUGGAAUUGAGAUAAAAGUGAACUAAAAUGUACUACUGAAGACUUAGUGACAAAGCCAACUAAAGUUGAUCAAAAUGAUCCUAAGAUGGACAUUGAUCAUGAGCUAGUUGGGGAACUAGACUACUAAAUAAAAUAUACAAGAGAGCAGAUGUGGCUACUAUUGAACCAACAUUCUUUGAAGAAGCUCAAGCUCAAGAACGAUGAAGGCAAGCCAUGCUUAAUGAAAUGAGCAUGAUUCAUAAAAAUCAGACCUGGGAGUUAGUUACAAGACCAGCUCAAAAAAAGGUCAUAGGAGUAAAAUAGGUGUUUCGAGUUAAGCACAAUACUGAUGAAACUUUGAACAAGCUGAAGGCAAGGUUAGUAGUGAAGGGAUUCAGCCAGAAGUAUGUGAUUGACUAUUUUUAUACAUUUACACCAGUGGCUAGGCUUGAUACAAUUAGACUACUGGUUGCAUUGGCUGCUCAAAAGCAGUGGAAAAUACAUCAACUUGAUGUAAAAUCUGCUUUCCUCAAUGGCUUUCUUGAUAAAGAGAUAUUUGUUGAACAGCCAGAGGGUUUUAAGGUUGUUGGUGAAGAAGACAAAGUGUUCAAGCUAAGAAAAGCCUUGUAUGCUUAAAACAGGCACCAAGGGCCUGGUAUGAAAAAAUUGACACCUACCUAGUAAGCUUAAAGUUUGAGAGAAGCAUUAGUGGGCCAACAGUGUAUGUGAAGAAGGAAGAUGAAGAAACACCGCUUAUAGUCUCACUGUAUGUAGAUGACUUGUUGGUAACAAGUGAAAACAAUGAUGAGCUAUUAGAUUUCAAAGGCAAAAUGGAGAGCAUGUUUGUUUGAAAUGUCAGAUUUGGGUGAAAUGUCCUAUUCCUUGGAAUGGAAGUAUUUCAGACUCAGCAAGGAAUUUUCUUAAGCAAGAAGGCAUUUUCUUUGAAAUUUUUGAACAGAUUCUCCAUGCACAAUUGUAAAGCAACUAGUACUCCAGUUGCUAUUAGAGAAAAGUUAACAAGCCAAGGUGAUUUUGAGAAAGUGAAUGAGUCAACCUAUAGGAGCCUAGUUGGAUGUCUGCUCUACUUAACAGCUACAAGGCCAGACAUAAUGUUUACAGUCUGUCUCCUAUCCAGGUUCAUGCACUGCUGUAAUGUGAACCAUUUUCAAGCUGUUAAGAAAGUUCUCAGGUACAUUAAAGGCAUUCUGAGCUUUGGGAUGAUGUUUACCAAGGUUGACAGCAUGAAACACCUUGGUUUUGCUGAAAGUGACUGGGCAGGAUCAAUAGAUGACAUGAAAAGCACCUCAGGGUAUCUGUUUACCAUUGGUUCAGCUAUUUUUUGCUAAAGUUCGAUGAAGCAAACUAUUGUUGCUAAAUCAACAGCAGAGGCAAAAUAUGUAGCAGCUGCAAGAGCUGUUAACCAAGCAAUUUGGUUAAGGAAGAUCAUGGCAGAUAUGAAUUUGUACCAAAGAGAAGCAACAGAGAUCAGAUGUGAUAACCAAUCUGCUGUUGCAAUAUCAAAGAAUCCAAUGUUUCAUAGGAAAACAAAGCAUUUUAAGAUCAAGUUUCAUUUUGUUAGGGAAAUGGAACAAUAUCGAGAAAUCAGACUAGUUCAUUGCAGUUUUAAAGAUCAGCUAGCAAAUAUCUUGACAAAGCCUCUUUGUAUGUCAAGGUUCAAGAAUUUGAGAGCCAAGUUGGGAGUUUGCAGCAUGCAAGCCAAGGAGAAGUGUUAGAAGAUGGCUUACAUGCAGACCAAGGCAGUUCGAGCCAUGCAAGUAGCAAUUGAAGCUUAUGCUGUUGUUUUGUUACUUUUCAAUUAAUGUUUUGUUGCUUAGUUAUAUUAGAACUAAGUUAAUGACAUGCUUGAUGUAAUUUGGUGCUGAUAGAUUUGAUAAAUCUGCUUAACCAAGAGUGCAGGCAAAGUUUUUCUAAGUUUCAACAAUGUGUUAGUGGAGUUAGGUAUGUUUAGGUAACAUUUUCAUUUUUGACAAGCUAAUUGUUUGGUAUAUGUAAUGUUAUUUGCUCUCAAUGAAAUUAUGAUUAAUCUUUCUGCAAAUUCUUCUUCUUCUUUUGGUUUUCUGUCAAGCAUUCUGUCAUUAUAGCUUAAGCUUAAUUUCUUUGUGUGUUCAUCAAGAUAUUGUAGCUUAAAGCUUAAGUUUCAGCUGAAAUUUCUUAUUCUGUUUUCUAAGAUCCAAUAGAUUUACUACCGUUGAACCAUUCCUCCCUAAUUUGAAUGUAAAAAAUAACAUUAAAUUCUUAUUAAUAAUGGUGCUGCCAUUGUAAUUCUUCCUUUGGAGUUUGGUGAAUACUUGUAAUCUUCUUCUUCUUUUCCCAACUUCUAUAUUCAUGGUUUGGAAUGUAAAGGAGGACAUCUCACAUGGUGUGAUAUAUGUUCAAUUAAGUUUUCCUUUAACUAGCUCCAACCUUAUCCCACUUUCAGAUGAACAACUAUUCCUACUACUUUACACACAAUUAUUUAAUUAGCAAUUAGAUGGUGCUCCAUUAUUAUCUUAUGAUUUCAAUUCGAUAAAUGCUAUAAACUCUAUUAAAAAUGCAAUCUGACCCUGGAAAAAGUAUAUUUAUUAAAAAUGAAAAGAUAACAGUGCUGGAAUCUUCUUCAACCGAAGUUCCAAAACAUCUAUCCCAUUCCCCUUCAAACACUUCACUCACACUUCAAAGUUGAAACAACACACAGCCCGUCAAUUACAUGUUUUACUUCUAUCAUUCUUUCAAACACCCCCAAAAUCCAAUCCAAGCGGUAGAUUGCAGCACAGACACGCAAUUGCACUAUAGACAAGGAUUUCUUGGACUGUUUUGAAGUUUGACCUAAAACAGAUUGUAAGCGGAAAUGAUCUUUGAACUAUGCAACGCAUCCCAUUCCAAUAAAAUCCCUUUCCUCCAUUGAAAUCAUCGAUUGGAGGUUGCACAAUAGUAUCUUCCGCGUCCCAUGUGGAAGACAUUUAGCCCGACUGUUGCAUGUUAGAGUUAAAAUAUUGUUACAAACAUUUGACUUGUUUCUUAUUUAAUUUUAAUGUAAAUCAUUGUCUUUAAGUGGAUUGCCAACCCUUCAUUAAUUCCCAGCUUUCUUGCUUUUCCUAUAUAUUCUAUGCCCUUGUUUCUCAUGAAUGUUUCCCUAGUUUUCUCAGCCAACAAGCUGAGGAAAAACCCAAAAUUUAGUCCCCAAUAAAGACCACUUCUUUUACGAGGAUUGCACCUUGAAAUCCUUUCAAUCUCCAACAAUGAGUCUUUAUCAGAAUUUGCUUCUUAUUACAGCAAUUUCUGCGUUUCUAAGUAUUGCUUCAGCUUGCUCUGAUGGACAGUGUAAGGUAGGGUCUUCAAUGGAAGAUGUACAUAUAUCCUUUCUUUUUUCUUCAAGUGCAUAUGAUUAUAGUUUUGAUAUAUUCAGCUGCUCGACGAAUGCUCUUCGGAUGGAGAUUGCGAGGCUGGACUGUAUUGUUUCGCUUGCCAGCAAGGAUUUUCAGGUUCAAGAUGUGUAAGAUCAACCGUUACAAACCAAUUCAAGCUUCUGGUGAGUGAUGAAAUUGAUAAGGCUUCUUUUGUUUGUGUAGCUCAUUCAGGGACCUUUCACUUUCAGUUGAGCCUGCUAGAGCAAGACAUUGAUGUCCAGCUUUUAGGGAAUUAGGCCAAAAUUUAUUCUCCUCCACAAUUUCUAACCCUUUUAUUAAUGUUUACAAAAACAACGCGUGCUAACUGCCAAAGAUUUUAAUAGAUAACAUAAUCGUUAAAGAUUUAAAUUCUCAUUUAUCAAUAUAUAAUUCUAUGCAUUAUCAGUGAAACACGUAAUACAGAUAAAUAAAUUUAAUCAAUUUACAAUUAUGUAUUAUUAGUACAUCAAAUAUAAAUUUUUCUGUAGAUUUUUUUGUUGGUGGAAAAUAACAGCAAAUUACGAUUAAAUUAAUUUUUUUUUUGUAUAUAUUUAAAAUUAUGUGAUGACGAUGGUAAAGUGUAUUCACUGUUUCAGGUGUGGCCUGGGUUUAAAUAGUACUAGAUGCUUUUGUUGUUCGGGCUUUACUCAAUUUAUAAGUUAUGAAUACUUAUAUAUGUAGUCAUAAAAAUUAAAAGAAAAAUAUAGUUUACAAUUAAAUAUGAUUUUAAUGAAAACACGUCUGCAAUUGCAAUUUAAAUCUCUCAUCAGAUAUUAGCUAUAACUGUGUAUUGGCAGUUAUAUUCGUAUAAUGGACAUUUUAAUUCUUGUGCGGUUACUUGUGGGGUGAACAGAAUAACUCUCUUCCUUUCAACAAGUACGCAUUCUUGACGACCCACAAUGCAUAUGCCAUCGAUGGAUAUCCAUUGCAUACCCCAGUUCCUCGCGUUACAUUUACCAAUCAAGAAGACAUGAUCACCGAUCAGCUCAAUGUAUGUUUCCCAGUUCACAUUCUAGUCCUAUCUAUGAUCUUUAAUUUCUAUUUGAUUAACAUAAGCCUAUAGCUGAGUUGCAGAAUGGAGCCAGGGCAUUGAUGCUUGACACUUAUGAUUUUGACGGAGAUGUGUGGAUGUGCCAUUCAUUUGGCGGACAAUGUCAUGACAUUACUGCGUUUGUAAAUUUAAUUUUCCCUAUUAGUUACCCAUAAAUAUUGCCCUUUUCAUUUUCAACAUCUUCUUUUUUCCCUUUGGAUUGGCCUACCAGGGACCAGCUAUAGAUUAUUUGAAGGAAAUCGAAGCGUUCUUAUCUGCAAAUACAGAGGAAAUUGUUACAUUAAUCUUGGAAGAUUAUGUUGGUCCAAAUGGGUUGACAAAGGUGUUUACUGAUGCUGGAUUGAUGAAAUACUGGUUUCCAGUGUCAAACAUGCCCAAAAAUGGUGAAGACUGGCCUCUAGUCAGUGACAUGGUGGCUAAUAACCAAAGACUACUUGUCUUCACCUCAAUUCAGUCCAAGGAAGCAAGCGAAGGAAUUGCUUACCAGUGGAACUACAUGGUCGAAAAUCAAUGUAAACCAUAUAUAUAUAUAUAUCCAUUAUUAAUUAAGUUUUAGACAUCGAUAUGUUUAGGAAAAGCAGAAAGUCGAGAUAACACAUUGUGGUUGAAUGCGAAAUUGGCAGAUGGGGACGGCGGAAUGCAAGCAGGAAGUUGCCCGAACAGGGCAGAGUCGUCAGGUCUAGACGACAAGACUAAGUCGUUGGUAUUGGUAAAUUACUUUCAUUCAAUGUCAAGCAAAGAGAAGACAUGCGAGGACAAUUCUGGAGAUCUUAUUAACAUGCUUCGUACUUGCUAUGCUGCUGCUGGUAACCGUUGGGCUAACUUUGUUGCUGUUGAUUAUUACAAGGUUCCUUUGUUCACUCUUUAAGUUGCUAAUAGUUUCUUGUUGAUUCAGCUCAUUUUCUUUGAAACUUGAAAAUAUUCUUGUUUUGGUUUGCACAGAGGAGUGAAGGAGGAGGAUCAUUCCAAGCUGUCGAUACUUUGAAUGGGAAGCUGUUAUGUGGAUGUGAUGAUAUUCAUGCAUGUGUGGUAAGUCAAAAUUACAUUUUGCAAAUGAAUGUAGUUCUUAGAUUAAUACAAACCAUAUUUUUAUACUUAUUUCGAGCUCAAUUAUUUGUGUCUAAUCCCACUCUCAAAUAUCUGCAGACCUUCGAAGUUAGGUAGAUAGUAAAAAAAUGUGGUUUGUUUUGUGAUUGCAGGUUGGAUCAACUUCAGGCGCCUGCACACCAUAAGGUGGAUUCUAGGCAGAGGAUGUGGCACAAGAUUUUAGACUACAUCAACAUUUUAAGCACUGAAUUCACUCUUAUCGUAAAAGUACAAGUUGUAGACAUAUACAUAAAUAUAUGUAUCUAUGCAGAGUUCCAUGAAUUUAAUAAAAUUUACAAAUGGAAUUUCAAUCUAGGAAUUUCAAUCUACUCUUAUAGCAAAUUUUUUCUCUAAUUGUCUGCUCUUAUACCUCGAUUUCUUUUUUUAUUAAUUUUUGGUUUUAAAAUACGGAUGAUAAUAUUACGACACUCACCAUUGAUGAUGGGGAGGAGGAGCCAUGGCAGAUUAAUUUAAGGGAAGUGGCUACUGCAUUUGCCUAUGAGUAAGAACAUGAUUUGAUGGAUAGUUUUUAGUGGUGUGCAUUAUUAGUUCAUGCGCAAUAUGUUAGUAAAUAUUUGGCCUCCAAUUGAGGGUAUCAUAAUUUCAUAUUGGGGAAGAAGAGAUUUGAUUUUUAUUUAGAGCCCACAAAAAAUUUAUGUGGAAAGAGUGAAAAGGAGGAUGAUGGACGUUAAACAUAUAUCUGAUGUUAUUUCAUCGAUAAGUAGAGAGAUGAUGUAAGUCUUAAUAUACUUUGUUGGUUUGUGGAUACAAAUUUACAAUUUACUAAGUAGAUUAACAUCCUAAUGAAUUAACUGACAUCUCUAUGUUAAGUAAACAAUAAUUGAACUUAGUAAAAAUGCUUGCAAAUUCCUUUAAUUUUAUACCACAAUAAAACUUAAUAUAAACCAACAUUUUAUUUGGCAUAAUAAAGUAAUUAAAUUAAAAAAUAGAGGAUAAAAUAAUUGAAGGGCAUUUUUAAUUCUAAGCCUUUAAAAUUUUGAUUUUCCAAUUUAACAUAGGCUCAAGUUUAGAGCCUAAAUCACAGGCAUUGAAUAAGUCGUCAUUACCUGCAAAUAUCUUACACGUCUCUCCUCCCUCUUCCUUCACUCAUGCCGACUCACUCGUUUCUCACAUGCCUAACCUCACUCUCCCUCCAUAAAUAUUCCCUCACAACCUCUCCCUUUCAAUCAAAUCCCCAACCUACUCUCUCUCAAAAACAAGAACAAAUACAAAACUCUCCCUUCAUCUUUUGUUUCUUUUUCUUUAGCAGUGAUAAUGGUUGAGCCUGCAACAGCGACCCAAGCAGCAGCUCCGGUGAUGCCUCAGCUCAAAGAUGAGCUUGACAUUGUGAUACCAACUAUAAGAAACUUGGACUUCCUUGAGAUGUGGAGGCCAUUUUUUCAGCCCUACCAUCUCAUCAUUGUUCAAGAUGGCGAUCCUUCAAAAACCAUCAAGGUCCCUCCUGGUUUUGACUAUGAGCUUUAUAACAGGAAUGAUAUCAACAAGAUUCUGGGUCCCAAGGCUUCUUGUAUUUCCUUCAAGGACUCUGCUUGCCGUUGCUUUGGUUACAUGGUGUCUAAAAAGAAAUACAUUUUUACCAUUGAUGAUGACUGCUUUGUAAGUUCUUUUGAUUUUCUUUUUUUCUUAUGGAUCUUUACAUUGCUCUGUUUGGAAAUUUAGAUACUUUUGAUUUUUCUUUGGGUGUCUCUCUUUAAGAAUAUAGGUAAAUUACCAUUCCUACUAUACCAAACUAUGGAUCUUUUUAUGAUUAGGUUGCUAAGGACCCAUCAGGCAAAGCAGUCAAUGCACUUGAACAACACAUCAAGAACCUGCUAUGUCCAUCAACUCCCUUCUUCUUCAACACCUUGUAUGACCCCUUCAGAGAGGGUGCUGAUUUCGUCCGUGGAUAUCCAUUCAGUCUCCGUGAGGGUGUCCCAACUGCUGUUUCUCAUGGCCUGUGGCUAAACAUCCCAGAUUAUGAUGCACCAACCCAACUUGUGAAGCCUCUUGAGAGGAACACUAGGUUUGUUGAUGCGGUUCUCACCAUCCCAAAGGGCACCUUGUUCCCCAUGUGUGGUAUGAAUCUGGCUUUCGACCGUGACUUGAUCGGCCCUGCCAUGUACUUUGGACUCAUGGGAGAUGGCCAGCCAAUUGGUCGCUACGAUGAUAUGUGGGCUGGCUGGUGCAUCAAGGUAUGUUUCCCAUUGGAGUUUAGUUAUUCGUAUUGCUUUAUGUUUGUUGUGCUUGAUGAAUGUUUAUGGUGUAGGUGAUAUGUGACCAUUUGGGAUUGGGGGUGAAAACGGGUCUACCAUACAUCUAUCACAGCAAAGCCAGCAACCCCUUUGUGAAUCUGAGGAAGGAAUACAAGGGUAUAUUCUGGCAAGAAGAGAUCAUCCCAUUCUUCCAACAAGCUGUGCUUCCAAAAGACUGCACCACUGUUCAAAAGUGCUAUGUUGAACUGGCUAAGCAGGUGAAAGAAAAGCUUAGCAAAGUUGAUCCCUACUUUGACAAACUGGCUGAUGCAAUGGUUACUUGGAUUAAAGCCUGGGAUGAGCUCAACCCUCCUACUGCAGGAUCUGUUCCAAAUGGGAAAGCGGCUUAGACAAUUUUCUAUCACAUCACAUUUAUUAUAUAUAUUAUUCUAUUCAACACAAAGCUGCACCAUUAUUUCCCUACAGUUUAAUUGAACUUUAAUAAUUUUUGUUUGUUUUUUUAUUAUUUAUUUAUCUUCUUCCUCACUAGAUUUUGGCGGGAUAUAUUAUGUAAUUUUAUCAACUUUAUGUUAUAAAGUUGCAGACAUGAAUAACAUGUGUUAGUUGAAUUAGCAGUUCUUCCAUUGAAUUAGCAGUUCUUCCAUUUAACUUUUACAAUAAUAGAUUCUAAAUUUAUACUUAAAAUGAAAAUUUUUCAUAAAAAUAUAUAGUUUAAUUUCGACCGUGUACAAAUACUUUGCAAUUUAUUUUUGAAACUUGUGUGGUCACUUAUUGCAUGUUUUACCAGCUUAGAAUCAGAUUUAUUUUUAGCUUGAUUUUCAAGGGAUAACCUGUUUCUAUAAAAAAAUAUAAUAAUAAAAAUACAAGUAAAGAGCCCAUAUAUAGAUAGAUGGAUGGCUUCUCUGCAUGUCAAAAGAAUAAAAGCUUUGGAUAGAAAACCUUAUUGUAAAGCCCAAAUGUUAAUUUUAUGGAUUAAAGAACACAAUGAAUAGAACCAAGUGGAACCGAAUAUUAUUAUGCAUUGCAGAGAAUACAUGUUUUCCUUGAACAGCCUUUAGUUAUCCUGGUCAUUAAAUCCUACCCCUAUAGCUUGAUCCCAUUGUGAACAAAAACAUCAAUAUUCUAAUAUCUGAUUUUCAGAAACCACAGAACUGAAAUAAAUUGCUUCAAAACUUAAAUUAGUUUUCGAACAGAAUACAUUUUGCAAAACUGAUCAUAGUCGCACGACCAUGAAUUUCAGCCUCUAUCAAACUAAGAUAAAUUUUAGGCGAUGACGAGGCACUAACAAUCAGAAUGAUACCAACUUGGCUUGACUACCCUCCUAAUCUAUGAUUCUGCAAUCGCAUCAUUGGACUUUUCAAUCUUUUGACGCUUGGCAUCGCGCUCACUAUCUAGAUCGUUGAGACAUCCAUUUACUGCCUCUUCACCCAAAAGAGAUAUGUGCUUGCUGGUGAUUUGGCGACCUGCCCUAAGCUUUGGCCCCCAGUGCCUUUCAGGAUUCGGGAGGAAGCGAGCAACCUUCUUAGCUUGUGCCUUGCUAAGGGAUGCAACAGCUCGAGCAAAAUUUGCCUGCCAAAGAGAAGUUGAGAGGUGUUAAAAACAACAUUUCCCACCUUCAAUCUCAAGUUGUAGAUGUUUAAGAUAGGGAAUGCGUGUGUUCACAUGCAGGAACAUGAAACAAGGACUGCGGAUACAUAGGGAAAGAAGCAUGCAACUAAAGAAAGUGGCAUCAAAAACAUACUUGAAGAACUGGUUCUUUGGCAAGUAUCACACUUCCAGGCUGAUCACCCGGUUGAGCUUUCACUGGAUGAUUUUUAACCUAUAGAGAAAACAAAAACUUAAGAAACCAUUUAAUCACGUCUAUUAACUGCACUAGUGCACGGAACAUUAAGGAGUUCAAAAGUCCCAACAAUUUAAUCAAAGUUUAGUCACUUGUACUUUCUUCAGCUGCACACCUACACAAAUGGUGGAAAUAAAGAAAAAAACAGAAAGUAGCCAUACCCAGCAGCGCAUUAUGUCCCAAAUGACAUCCAUGGGAGCAUCUGAUUUUAGUCCCAAUGGAUUUACAUGAGUUCCAGAAAUUUGAUAUCCUGCAUUGAUGACAGCGGAGCGGAAAAUAACUGCAGACGGGGAAGUGCAUUUUAGUGUAGCACAGAGGUUGUGCAGACUCAAAAAGAGAGGAACAUCAGGCAACUCCUGCAAAGAAAUUGCAAGUCAGGUAACAAACUUAAAAGUAUCUCUAAAAAGAAAAAGAUUUCUUGCUCAAAUAGGUUUAGUCAUAUAUAUUGCAUGAAUUUUCGACAUCUGAUUGUUACAAUUUACAUAACCAUCCUAACAUCUAAUGACAUGUUUCUCUAAAAGGUUGUAGCUAAACUUUCAUGAUAGAAAUAUUCAAGUCAAUAGUCAAUAUAGAGCCUUACUUUUUAUAGUUUAGCAUAGAAAAUGAGAUGGCUCAGAGUUACACAGCUAAAACCUGAGAGGAACUAGUGUUCUAAGGUUGAGAAAGAGUCGCCCAAAUGAAGUUACUAAGGAAAAAAAUGAAUACCUCCGAAAUUGUAGUCAAUACAGCAGAGAUGCGUUCAUAGGCCGGAUAACAAUUCUUCAUUGAUUUUACAUCUGCUAGUAUGCUAGUUACCCAAUCCUGAUCAUGGAUGGGAGCAGACCAUAUAGGUCCACCCAUGUUAAAUUUCUUCCCACAGUCACUACACUCUUGAGGGACAACAGGUGCAAAGCCUGGGAGAUACCUCACACUGGUAUUCUGGAAAUUAGAAGGUCAAUGCAAGAUAAAAUUAUUGUGCAAUUCAAAAUAAAGCCAAGUAAAAAAUAAUAGCCAUUGAUGUACAAAGCACAAAUAUGUUGCUAUGUUCCCAUCUUUGAAACAUCAUUACAUACAGUAAAUAACUUUGAUACAUCUCUUUUAAUUAUGUCUGAACAUUGAAAUUAUACUCAAAAAAUAAAAUUAAAAGCAAGCUUCGAUUAAUUAAGAUAGAAAGGAAACCAAAUAUCUUCAUCUAAAAUAAGCUAACUAGAGGCAUGAACAUGUCUCAAAUAGCAACACUAAGCAAUUAAAUGCUCAUACAUCAGGAUGUUAUUUUAAUGAUUUCACAUGUGCACAUACACUAUGACUCCACUAUGUAGAAGCCCAAAUGAUGUAAGCCAUGUAUAUGUUAAAAACAAGAAGGAGCACCAAAUGCAUGGUAAAUCAGGAAGCACACCUUAGAAACAGUUCUCCCAAUAGGCUGUAGAUGAAAAGAAUCACAACCAAUGCAUUGAUAGACAUAUGAGAGCUUAAGGGGAGUAUUCUUCAUUGCACUUGCAGAACUGCAAUGAAUGAAUUAGCCUUCUGUCAACAUUAAGUGAGGGCAACAUUACUUAAUAAACUAAAUUAAAAGAAUAAGCCACCUACGUGUAUACACGAACAAAAACACGGACAUAAAAGUCCAUCUGAACAGAGAGAACAGGAACAAUAUAACGCUUGUACCGGUUCGCAUGACUCUGCAUUCAAGAAAGAAGAAAUACAAAUUAUGGAAAAGAAGAAGAUUGUUGUUGGCAUUUACUUCAAAAAGAAAGUUUUUGGCUUUUUGUUUAGGAGAACAGAUUUCUAUGACAAGGUGGUAUAGUUACCGGUAUCUUUUCUAAUGUCCUUCAUCAACUAAAAGUAGUUCAAGUGAAAGAAAAAAGAAGUCCUAGAAGCCACAUUCCUUUUGCAACAGAUCAUUAUUGUUUUCUAUAUCAUGUGUUUCAAAUGCUAAAAGAAAGGACAUCAAACUACCUCAAUGCAGGCCAGGAGGAUCCUCAAAGCCAUUUCGUGGCAAUAUUUCCCUCUCAAUGGGUAUGAUCCAUAUCUGUUUCCACAUGCAGUUACAGGAUGAGCUUAAAUAUUCAAGAACAUAGUUCAAAUGAAGGCAAAGCUACUACAAUCUUACUUGGAAUAGCAAACCUCCCCAUUACCCCCACAAAGGACUGCCAUAUCAGUUGCAGUGCACAUCAGCAUGCCCCCAUCCACAACAGAUUGAACUGCUGAGUCCAGGAAUACAGAAGGUGAACCAUAAGGAUCAAGAUCAACCUGAAAAAACAGAUUUAGCAAUAAAGAGCAUAAGCACAGCUCCCCUUGAAUAGUGCGGCCAAGAAACAAUACAUAUUUCCCAUUAAUUAUGAAAUGUGGAUAACAAAUAACAGAAACAACAGACAAAUUCCCAAUUAAUUAACUCACUUCUCUUUUACCAAUUAUAAAAUGGUAUAGACAAAAUGAAUGCAUAACAAGAACUAUUUCUACAGAAAACAGAAAUUUUCUACAAAAUUUUAUUUAAGCAUACCAGACCAAAUACUUAUGCAGCAGUUGAGCAUACAUGCAGAUUAAGAUGUGCAUAUAAAGUCGUUUUAUUAUAAAAUAACAGAUCCCGUACCACAUCAAAUUCUUUUGGGUGAGUAAGCAUGUAAACACGAGCAUCAGCAAGAUGUGAUUCCACUUUUGAACAUGCCACAGAACCAUUAAAUUUUAUGUUCCGCUGGCAAGCUUCAACUGCCCCUGCAAGUAGACACAUGGUAUUGGGAAAUCUAAGAAGCAAGUAAACCAUAUAGGAAAAAUCUGUUUGUAAAUAGUAAUAUAAAGCAUGAAAAUGCAUAGGAAUCAGAAAGGCAGAAAAUGAAGGUCCUUCUAGGUCCAAAAUAAUCCUUCAAAUAGCAUAUCAUAACAUCCAAAAUACCUUUAUCGUUAUCUAAGGCAACAACUUGGCCAAUCCCUUCUACCUCCCGAGCAUAUCUCAGAGCCCUUAACCCAGAUGCUGACAAGGCCUAUAUAAACACCAGAAAAGGCAUGCAGAAAAUGAAACGACUAGCAUUGGGGGUAAAAGCAUAUAUAUUUACAUUGGAAAAACAAAAGAUUGUGGAAUAACCUCUAGAACUCUUGGUGGUUUGAGCUUCCCCCGAACUUUUCCUUCUAUCUUAACUGGUUCUCCAGAUGCAGUACAUGGAUCUUCAUUAGGCUUCUCUUCAAGCCCUUGUUCAUUGGAUUUUUGGAUAUUAAUAUCGCAGUCAUUAGGUUUAUCUUCUACAUCAGAUGAAGAACCGUUCUUUUUGUUUCUUUUAGACAACAAUGCCUCAUGUUCCUGCCUCCGUUUUGAUAUAAAUGUCCUCAGGACAGCAAUGGACAUGUCUCUGUUGUUAACCUAAUUAUCAAUAGUGAAUAAUUAGGAUCCCUACUAGAGAAUAAGAACCAAGCAGUAAACAACUAACACUAAAAUUAUACAGACGAGGAAACAAUAUCCUACUCAAAGCAUCUAAAAACAGAGUACACACUAUACAGGUAUUCAGUGAAAGCAUUAAUGAGAGAAAAUUGUACAGUUCCUUUCUUUUCUCGCCCUUUCCUAUUAGCCAAUCACGGCGCCAUUAGUUCACACUAUUGAAAAGAGCUUACAAAUUUCAGAAAUAGAUUAACUUAAACCACCCUGCCAGUAGUCUUUCCAACAAGAAAUCAUCAAUAAUACAGAAGUUUUUAGUCAAACCAAAAGCUUCCGAUUAACUAAAAGUAAAACAUGAAAAAAUCUAACCACAAAAACAAUGAAUUCAAUCAAUUUUUCACCGUCAAUCAAUUCAUUCAAUUAAGAAAAAAGUCAUAUUUCUCAUGAGAACCCAUAAUUAGUUCCCCUUAAAACAACAUAUUCGUCGCAAUAACGAGAAACUUUCAAUAAAAUAAAGGCUAAACCGUCGACUAAAACCCAUUAACAUUCUAAUAAGGGAUUCAAUAAAAUAAAAUGAAGUGAAACCUGAGUUUUGUUGAAAAAGACUUCAUUUUUAGCAUGCAUAAGAAUCUCAGCUUCUCCUUCCUUGAUGAUAGUGUAAUCAUUGAGAUCCAUCGACAUUGUUUCUCCUUUUACAUGCAAUAACAAAGUUAUGGCUUCUUUUCCUUUUCCUUUUGUAGUUAAUUAUUUUCUUUGAAUGGUUUUGAAGAACAAAUUUGAGUAGCAAAUCAAAUUCUUAUUUUAUUUUAUUUUUUGGCUUUAAAAUUGAUUUCGGUGUUUGAAAGUUUGUGAAAGCUGCAAAUUCAUAAAAAGGAGGAGGCUUGUUUUUGUUUAUACGCGUGCUUUGAAGUUUGAACUCUGAAUAUAGGAUACCAAGUCCCACCGGAAACCCUAUUUUAUUUUUCUUUUAUUUUUAUUUUAUGUUUAAUUUAAUUUAAUUUAAUUUGUUGAUCUUUCUUAAACCCUAGAGGCUUACGUUCAUAGUGUAUCCAUUGGUAAUUCUUUGCUAACAUGAGCCCUGUACUGCUAAGAAAUUAUCCCAUAAUAAUUCGAUCAUAUCUAUUACCAAACAAAACUUAAAUUCAUAUCUAGUGCACUAAAAUUAAGAUUUAGCUAAUUUAUGGUUGAAAUAUUUUAUUAUAUUCCUAAACCUUUCAUAAAUUAUAUUUUAUGUGUGGGCGUUUGAUCGAAUUGAGUAAAAAGAUUUCGAGUUAAUCAAGUUAACGAUUUAUAUUUUAUUAAUUUGAGUCGAGUGAAAUUAAAUUCGAAUUGAACCGAAUCAAGUGAAAUUGUUUGAGUUAAAUUAAAAAAUUAAACAUGUCAAAUUAAAAUUUUAUUACAGUAUAACUAAUUUCAUAUUAGAGCAUAUAAAUUUGAAACCAUAUAUAUUUGAAAACUUAUUUAGGUGCCAAAAUUAUUGUUUAGAAAAAUUUUAAAUUUUUAACUUUCUUUAUAUAUUUUUUUAUAAUUUUUUAUAAUUUUUUAAAGAUAUAAAUUUUGAAAUUUUUAUAAAUAUUUUAAAUUUUAAAAAUAAUUUUAAAUUUUAUUUUUUUAUUUGAACUAUUUGAAUUAUUCAAGUUAUUCUAAUUGUAGAAUUCAACUCGAUCCGAACUCGAAACUCGAAUUACUUAUUCAAAUUAACUCAAUUAACUCGAAAUUCAAAUUUUUUUGAACCCUAAAAUAUAUUGCAGUACAAUUUUUAUCCUCGAUUUAUAGUUCAAUUUUUAUAUAUUUUUUUAUCAAGUUGGGAGUUUAUUAUUAAAAAAUAUAAAAAAAAGGUUAAUUUUUAUAUCUUUAAAACUCAAAAAAGAUUUAUUACUAAAUAAUAAUUGAGAUCAAAUUUGAGUAUCAUUUCUGUUUAUUCUUGUUACAUUGUCUAAAUCUAACAAAACCAAAGCAAAGAAGUUUAAACUUGUAUCGUAACUACUAAAUGCUUCAAACUUUUUAGUGUAAUUUUAUUAUUUGUUACAUUAUAAAAAUAUUAAACCGAAAAUCAAUCUCUUUAAAGAGUUCCUUAUAGAGCUUAUGCUGCAGUACUAAUGCAAAAGCAGGAGUUGAGCAGAGCAGUUCAAAAUACAAAAAGAAACAGAAUGAUUGUUAGGGGUGAAUGUUUGUUUGUAAGCCUUCCAAUUAUCAAGCCAUACAAACUUUCAAGUUCUACCAACUCAUACUAAACAAGUCUGUUAUUUGAGUUCAUGUUUUAGUUUUUCUGCUAUACUGUUCUAACCAAUACAAUGGAUGGAUUUUGAACUGAUUCACAAUUAUCCUACAAUUCUAAGGUUGGUAAUGAAGGUCACAACACGAAAUUCGUAGCGAGCAGUCAGCUCUUCAUAUUUUUGAUGUCAUCCUGAUCGUCAAAACCACCACCAUGAAGAUGAUGUUCCCUGCAAAUCCAAAGAACAGACUGACAUGUUACGCAUUGAAACAAAAAGAUAAAGCAGAGAAUGAGUAUGAAAGUGGAAAUUUUACACAAAGGAGAAAUUAGGCAGAAUGAUGCCCAAAAAGGAAAACAGUACCUCAGUCUCUCGCAAAGACGUGCUAAAGCAUCUGCUCCAGUUCGAGAAGCAACAUCCCCUAUCUGUGCAGCAUUUGAUAAGGUCACACACUCUGCAAGCCUAAACUCGCAAAGUUCUUUCAAAGAACAUGCAUCAGUCAAUACAGCGGAAUGACCACCCCCAGCUGCUAGUUUUCGCACUUCACCAACGCACCUACAAUAUAGAAUUGUCAUCUAAACAGAACACCAUAAAGUUGCAAAAGCCUAUGACACAAUAAUUUGGCUAUAUUCCUACCAGUCAACUGGUGAAGGAUACCAUGCAUAAAUAGAUUUCUGAUUUGCUGCCUGACCAUAAUUAUUGUAGCCCCAUCCAUUAAUUCUUCCAUCUCUCAAACAAAUAAGUGUGUGAGAAUGUCCACAAGCAACAAGCUGGACACCGGUGGGAACAACCAAAGCAGGGAUAUUACGAAAGAAUGAAUCAUUAGGGUUGCAUGAAAAGAAUCCUGUUUGAGGGCCAAGGCCUAGCUGUCCUACUUGACCACCACCCCACGCAUAAAGUGCUCCCUUUGAAGUUAAAGCACAUGUAUGUACCCCACCACAAGCAACAUCCUUAAUGCAUAUACCAUCCAGAGCAACUAUUCUCCUUGGCAGGAGCUCUUUAUCACCAGAUUGAAGGGAACUGUGUCCAAGUUGACCCAUGUUUCCUAGACCCCAAGUAUAGCUGAAAUAGAAAAGCAGAUAAUCAUCAAUGCUAAUAUCUUUGUUGAUGAGGAAGAAUUCUCAACAUAGGACUCUUAACAUGAGAUGACCAACAUCUGUUUUGAUGUAGUGCAUGAAUGCAUGGUGAUAUACAUUAUGCAUAGUGCUUGUAGAUAUGUUGCAGACUGGAACAUGCAGGAAUUUUAGAUCCUAAAACACCAUAAAUAAACGCACCAUGCAAGGAACUAAUGUGGAGAUAGCAAGCUCCAAGAAAAGCCUAACAGGAAACUCAAGUAUCAGAUAUCUUCAAAAUCUAUAGACCACCAUAAUUGGAAAAUACAUGAAAACAAGCUCGUACACUGAAAGCGUGAAGUCAUUCUUUUACUUCCUUUAAAGUACUAGCAUUCAUUUCAUGCUAUAGCCUGAGGUAAUAGACUUGCAUAUCACAAUCCAUCUCAUUUCCAUUGCAUCCCAUCUCCUCCUGGCUAAUGUUUGAAUUUCACAUGAUAAACUAUAUCCAAACACUCAUAUAAAGUAACUAAGUUGUCUAAGGAUAUACAAAUUGUCAACCCCACCCCCCUCCUCUUUUUUUUUUUUCUUGGCAAAUGGAAAAAAAAGUAAGAGAUAGUAGAUCUGCUAAGAUGCAAGACUGUUAAACCUGGAAAUAUAUAAACUAAAGAAUUAUGUCUCAAGGUGCUUUGAUGGUAACCCUAUCCCCUUAAAAGUUCUUCUACUGCUUUCUUUUCCUCCUCAAAAGCCAAAAUUAAGGAAUGGAAUAAAAUCAAUCAUUUUUCUUCCAUCUGUACAAGCAGGUACACCCUUUCAACAACAAUUCCCCUCCAACUGGAACUUAAUAACCCAAGUGAUGUGGAUAACCACAAUUCUUAUACUUAAACACAGAUCUUAUCUCCAUCUAGUAAGUCCUUUGGAUAACUUACACCUCGCCUUUUUCAGAAACAGCUGCAGUGUGGUACUCCCCACAUGACACUUGGGUAAUCUUCACAAGCUCAGGAGCCUCAUCCAGGAAUUUUGCAUAUGCAUUUAUCACACGAGCACCCUGUAAUCCUUCGGAAGUAAUGCCUCUGCCUAGCUGACCAUACUCAUUAUAGCCUGGUUUAUCAGAACAGUGAUAAAUAUCAAUUAAUAGGUGGCAUGAAACUAGCAUGAGUUCUUAAGUUUCCUUCCUAAAUCUAGGUUCUGUAAAGAAUGAGGCCUAUAGGCACAUUAAUCGCUUGCAACAAACCUCAAAUAUAUUUGCAAACUCCAGUCAUUAAAUAAAUCAUGAUAUUGUGAAGUAGUAAAGCUUACCCCAAGCCUGUAGUAGGCCUUCCUCUGAUAAAGCAACUACAUGGGCCGCUCCACAGGACACUUGACGGAUAACCUGUAAUAAUCAAACGCAUAUUAAUCUCGUAUUAUAAAGCAAUCAGUAAACAGCUUCAGAGAACCUGAUCCUUGGUUAGAAAUCAUGAUCGAAAUAUAUAUGGAAAAAGACCGGUUAAUCAGGAAAAAAAAAAGUGUUCGCGGAUUCAAUUAGACACAAUAAUUAAGAAUGGUUGAAGAUUACGCUGCUUAAGAUCAGACCACAUAAGCAGAAAGUUGAAUGAGAAAGCUACAAGCUAAAUUAUAUUUGUCUCAAACAGAAACAGAAAAAAAUGUGCAAACUCCAUGUUACAGAAUUCAAUUGAAGUCGAUGGAGGGAGGAGUGAUAAAGUUAGGUCCUUCUUCUCUCAUACUUGUGCAUGUGUGUCAUCAAAGUGGAGAUUCUCUAGUGUUGGUUAGGUAAUAAACCAAUUCAAGGAACAACCUGCCAGCCUGAAAAUCGACUGGAAAAGUCCGCUUAUUUCUCUGCCAGGUCAUGAGCUAGAUAACAUAUCAAUAUAGAUAAAAGAACACAGAUAAUAUUAGAAGCAAAUGAUACUGCAAAAGUAUCCUAAAAGUUAGGUCAUGACUUAUUGAAGCAAAGCUAUCUUCAGUUCACUCAUUUAUGAAGGAGAUAGCAGGAACCUAGCAUUUGGUUCUGAAUAAAAACUGGUCCCAGAGAACCAAAAUGUCUAAAAGUGAUUAGCAUGAAGUUUCCUUUUCCUAGUCCGUGACAGGAAUCGUAAAUUUUAAAUAAAUAAAAGCCUCAAACUUCAUAAACAGGACCUUGAAGAAUUAAAGAAAGGUUCAAAAACAAAGAGCAACAAAACAAUAACAGCAACGUCUCUUGGGGUGAAGACAUCAGGAAUUCAAGACAAUACCAUGUUAGGAGUGAAUGCACCCCAAAAUAAACGAGGUAAAUUUGAUCCCUGUAAUCAUUUAUGGAAAAGUAAGUGGAAAGUGAGAUCAAUAUCAAUUAAAAAUCUAAAAAGCAACAAUGAUUCAUUAACUAUAAAUUUCAUUACCUGAUUUUGUCCCCAAAUCCAGAGUCUCCUUUUUGAGAUAGUCCCAUCAUUUUCACGAGGUUCUGCAAUACCAGCUGUGCAAUGUGCCCCACAAGAUACAAAUUUCACAAACUCCGUCUGCAAUUGCUUUACUUUCUUUGGGUUUUUCCUCCCCUUCUCAGUGCCAUCUCCCAGUUGUCCAAACUCAUUAGCACCUAGCAAAAUGCAUCAAAAUAUAAUUCUUCUUUUCCUGAUAUGAACAUACAAAAACAACAAGAACAGCCACAUCUUUGGCAAAGACUAGUUCCUUUAUGUUUCCAAUUUUCAGUAGCACAACACCUUCAUAUAGUUAAUUAUCAAAACAAUCUAUACCUAUGUUGUUCCAACUGUUCUUUUUUUUUUUUUUUCUUGAAGUACCGUGUCCAAGCAUGUAUGGAAAUGCAUAUCAGACUAUGACCCUCCAAGAACUCUCCAAAUACAUGAAAAGACUUGAAAAAAAAUGAAUAUACCUGUGUCGAGCACAUAUAUGACCAUGCACACUAAAAAUAAAUUCUCAUUAACAAGGAGAUAAUCUACAGUCAAAUUAGCUAUUACUAAUAUAAAUCAAGCAAUAAGAACAACCAAAUCACCUCAAAGGAAACAACAUAAUACAAAUGUUCGCCAGUAGACCAGCAGAAUUCCAGCCGUAGGCAAAAAAAAGUAGAUAGCAAGAUCGAAACAACCAGAGCAAAGGAGCAGACAAAUACAAAAGGCAGGAUAAUGUACAAAACUUGAUGAUAACAAAGAAAAAAGAGGGACUUCAGAAAUGGAAAACAAGCUCCAGAGGAAAAAUGCCCAAAACCAAUAGAAUCAAAUCAACAGGACCAACCAAUACAACAAAAACAGCAUUCUCAAUAUCCUCAAGAAUCCAAGACAUCAACAAUAGAAUUUAAAUGGCAAGAUAAAUAACAACACACAUCGUUUUCAAAAUGAAAAAACAACUAAUCAAAUUCAUUUAAAUAAAACAAACAAACCCCACGUGAAUAAUGACCCAUCUGAGGCCACCGCCGCAGUAUGCUCACGGCCGCAAGCAAUAUCCAGCCAGCGGGAAUUUGCCCCCGCCGGACACCCAAAGAGAUCGGGCGAUAGCUGUUUAGGGAUCCUCAAGUGUUGUUCUUUCCCUCUCCUACCAGUCUGGCCACUAUGAUUAUAUCCCCACACAUAAAUUGCACUCUUUGUUGGAAUAUUCUGAGAACGGGUCAUCGUUUCACCCAUAAUUGUUUCAAUAUCCAUCUAUUUACAAACAAAUAUAGAUGCAAUAAAUGAGAACAAGUUCACAACAUUAAACAUUUGUCUAUUAUACUAAUUUCCAUAAAUUUAACAAAAAAAUGAAAAUUAAAGGGUUUUUUUUUUUCAAUCGAGGUUCAUGACAUUACCUUAGUUUGGUAGGUGGGAAAAUGGAGGAAAGGAAAAGAAAAGUAAGAAACCCGCACGAAAAGCCAAGUGCUUUUAAGUUAAUAAGGUAAAAAGGACAAUGAUGAUGAUAUAAUAUCCGUUUGGUUUACGUGAAAAUGCAGGAAAGGAAAGGAGACUUUAAAAAGAAAAGAUUCUGACAAUUUCUGGAGUCAAUGAUCGCGUUUAUAAUUCGAUAAAACUUUGAUUAAGUUCAAAAGAAACGAGGAAACGAAUUCGAGAGAAUUUGAAGAACGCACCUCAGUUUUGAGAAUGGAAAUUGAAUUGAAUUUUCUUGGAUUAAAUAGAAAAAAUAAAUUAGUAAAUGGAGAUUUUAUUACAUGACAAAAAAAGGCAAAGACCGUAACUUUUCUGGAUUUAAGAGAUCCCGGUAGUGUUCCAGGAAUAUGGGAAUCGGGUCGGAUCUAGUCAGGUUGGGAAAUUAUGAAGGACCCGAAUGUUCUAGGCCCAAGUAUUCCGUUUUACAAAAAGAAUCUUCUAGACACAAGAUAUUGUAUAAUGAAAAUGAAUAGUAAAUAAAUAUUCUUUUAUUAUAUUAUUCGAUUUAAAAAAAUUAUAAAUUUAUUAUUCGAUUUAUUUUUUAUUUUUUUUAAAGUUGAAAACCGUUAAAUUGCGGCUGACGUGAUUCUUAACUUAAUGAUAUGUUUUUUUAACAUUUUUAUUCUACAUAAAUUUCAUGUCAUAUUAUAAUUUAAAAAAAGAUUACUUUUUUUACCCGAACCUACACCUUUUUGGGUACUUCCAUCUCUAAAAUAUGGCUAUUUUACUAAAUUGAUUCAAAAAAAUUUAAUAUUUAUAAAAAUAACUCAGGUUCAAAAAUAAUCACCAAAAUGACUCGAAAUGAACAAAAGAUUAGGGUUUUUGCCUGUUAAUUGGCAAGCACCAACUCGUAUUUUACACACAUGAUUGCUUGAUGAUUGUGUCAGGCUUUAAAAAAUUAUUUUUUUUGGUUUUGGCCUGUCAAUGGCCGACACCAAGGUAUUUUUUUCAAAUCGUAUCAUACUGUAUACAAAAAUACAAGUUUUCAAAAAAAAAAGAAUUUUUUUUUGUGCUGGUCUGUCAAUGGCCGGCACCAAUAAUUUUAAAAAAAUUAAUUUUUUUUGUGCUGGCCUAUCAAUAGCCGGCACCAGUAGUAAUUUAAAAAAUUUAAAUUUUUUUGGUGCUGGCCUAUCAAUGGCCGGCACCAGAAUACGAGUUUUUAAAAAAAAAAUUUGGUGCUGGCCUGUCAAUGGCUGGCACCAGAAUACAAGUUUUCAAAAAAAAUUUUGGUGUUGGCCUAUCAAUGGCUGGCACCAAUAUUAAAAAAAUUUUGAAAUUUUACAAAUUUUCAAAAAAAAAUGGUCAAUGGCCGACACCAAACCUUAUAUAUAGUGGGUGGUUUGGCCGACACCGAACUAGGCUGUGGUUGAAACCGAUUGGUAGAGAGUCUCCAUGCAAAAGUACCUCAGGAAAUAAUAGAAGAAGAAAAGAUCUGGAGUUUUUAGAAAGCUAUAGUUUCCCAGCUGGUUUUCUGUUUCCUUUUUAUAUUUUUAAAAUUUGUUUGGUUCCGGGACAAAUCAAUUUAAAGGAAGAAAUUUAUUAUUUUUAAAAUUUCGAUUUUAAUUAAAAAAUAAAAUAAUUAAAUGAUAAAGCAAUUUAAUUAAAAGAGGCCAUUAAGAGGCCUAAAAUUGGCGAUUAACAAGCAUCCAAAGCCUAGCCUGCUACGCAUUAUGAAGCCUGCCAUGGCCUGUGUCCCAAGGCCUGAUGCAGGUCAUCCGAGUUGAACAGGUACGGCCAUUAGAAGUAGGGGUGAGCAUUUACAAAAAAUUUCUAACAACUGUUGCUGCUCAGUAACCCAUGAUGGUAUAAGCGUCGCGAUAUCUUCCUCAUUAUAUGGCAUCCAUAUAAACUGCAUAAUAUAAAGAACACGUUAUAUUUAAUUUUUUUUCUUGUGCAAUUGUUGUAUUUAAAAAAGAGAAAUUCAGAAUCGUAUUUUACAACAUCCCCGAAAUGAGUCUCUAUCAUCAUACGGUACAUAGGUACCGUGAAUGAUCUGCCGAUUCCCGGUACAAUUGCCCAUCUAAAAAAAAUUAUCAUAUUAUUUUCAAUAUGAAAAAAACGAAUAUACUAGAGUAUAUAAUUAAAAAAUAGAUGGCAAAAUUGAAAUAUAUAUUUACCUAUUAACCAGUGGCCAGACAUACGGUUGGUGGCUCACUGAUGCCAGAAAUGGCAUUCAAUAUAAUGCCCAAGACUGCAGUAGAAGGCAGCAACCGCCCAUUGUUUUUGUAGACGACUUUGUUGCUCGACAAAGCUCGCGGUAUAAGUAUGCCAACACUGCAGAGCCCUAGCUAAAUCUUCCGGCAUGCUCGAGAUCUUCUAAUAAGGGGAGAUACGUUAUUGAGACUUUAUUUUAAUUUACGUCUGGCAAUAGUAUCCCACCUAUAAGUUGAAGAAUAAACGCUCUCGCAGCGUAGAUAAUGUCCAUCUGCGUUGGACUGCUUGGAAGAUGUCGGAAGUUUUGUUUUAACCAAUUAAAUUUAAUAUGUGUUAAUCAUCCUUUGUCGUCGUUCGGGGGCACCUUUCCAAGUAAUCGCUCGCAAGUGCCCCAUGGGUCGGGCACUUUUCCAAGCCUGGUCACUGCAUUGCCGUUUACAGACAGCCCUAGUUGGACUGCUACGUCUUGUAGCGUAAUAGUACCUCUCUACACGGGAGGUGGAACGUAUGUGUCUCCAGGCGCCAUCUUUCAACUAAGGCCGAUAUUAAAUCGGCUCGUAGCUCAAAUAACUGAAUGUAUGCGGCUACCCCAAAACCCGCUACAUUCAAAUACGGUAAAACUCUUCGAUCGGGAAAAUAACUGGGAUCAUGCACCCGGGGUCUCACAAUUCAGUACAGAUUCUGCAUUUAUAGUAAAUAUAUAAUGUUAUAUUUCUCAUUUAAAAAAGAAUUUAAAAGAAUAUUUAAAAUUAAAUCAGACAUUUUAUUUCUCGUUUACUUGAUGCACCCUAGCUGCAAUGUGAUUGCUAUCAUUUAAAAGAACAUUAGGAUUAAGAUCCAUGGAGUGAUCGGCGGUCAUCAGCGGUGAACAGCGAAUGUCGGAGGUGUCUGGAGGUGCUCGGUGGUCGUCGGUGGUCGUUGAUGGUCAUCGGAGUAGCCUAUUUAUAGUGGGGGACCAUUUGGCUUCAAGGGCAAAAUUAAAAAAAAUAUGAAAUGAAAAAAAAAGUAAAAGAAGUAUGAAAUAGUUGGCCAAUUCACAGGCCUGACACAGGCGUCACAGAUGGGUCUUAUCAACCCUUUUAUUUUUCAUUUUAUUUUUAUUUUAUUUUUUUUCAAUUAUUUUUUUUUCAAUUCAUUUCAUAUUAUUAUUUUCUUUUUCAUAUUAUUUUUUUCAAUUCAUUUUAUAUUAUUUUUUUCAAAUUAAUUAAAAGUGGUCUUAAUAUCAGGGCCAUUUAAAUUUUUUUCAUCUAUUUUUAAAAUUUUUUAUAUUUUAUUUUUGUCAAUUUAAAUUUAAAAUUUUUUAAUUUUUUUUCAUAUUUUCAUAUUUUCUCUUUUUUUUGGAUUUUUUAGACCUAAUACCACAUUUAUCAAGCCUGAUAAAAGGCAUUUCGACUUUUAAAAAGUAAGCUGAAGCCGGCCAUUGCAAGGCCAUUGUCAGGCCUAUGCUUAGGUGAUGCAGGCCAAGCCUGCAUAUUAGUCAUGUCAAACUCUUUUUUUUUCAUUUCUUUUCAUUUUCAUUUCAUCUUCAUUUUAUUUCAUUUCAACUUCAUUUCAUUCUAAUUUCAUUUCAUUUAAAAUUUUUUUUCAAUUUAAAUUUAUUUUUUUCUCAAUUCAUUUAUAUUUUUUAAUUUUAAUUUUAAUUUUUCCUUAUUUCAUUUAAAUUUUUUAUUUUUCAUUGCAAUUUUAAAUUUUUUUGUCAUUUCUUUUAAAUUAUCUAUCUUUCCAUUUAUUUUUUUCUCAUCUUAUUUAAAUUAAAAGUUUCUCCCAUUCAUUUAAAUUUGUAUUUCUUUCAAAUUUAAUUUCAUUUUUUUUCUCAUUUCAUUUCAAUUAAAUUUUUUCCUCAUUUCUUUUGAAUUUAUCUUUCUUUCAAUUUUCAUUUAAAUUUUGUACCGCUUCAUUUCAAUUUAUUUUUUUCUCAUUUCAUUUAAAUUAUCAAUUUUUCCAUGUAAUUUUUAAUUUUUUCUCAUACAAUUUAUCUAAUUUUAUUUCUUUUAUAAUGUUUUUACAAUAACAUGUGCUCAAUAAUAUAUCACUCGUCAUCUUGGAGUCCAACACUACGAGACGAUUGACCAGAAACAUAUACACGAUGUGGGCGUGUUGAUCGGUUGUGUCUGGAUGCUCGACACACAGUGCACAGUUUGGGUUCACCCGUCUCCUUGACAUCCAUGUCAUUUCGAAUUCUCGUCGAUUGUGGUCGACCUUUAGAAUGUCUACGGAGACUACGGUCAGGCACCAUCUCGAAAGUAGGCGGUGGAACUUCCCAAUUUGAGACAUCGGGCAUUACAGGAAAUUCGUUCCCCCAUAUACGUAAUUUGCGUUCCAACGUGUAGAUCUCAUCUAUGAAUUGUUCAACAUUUAAGUUUGCUCUCGCACACGCUGCAUGAACAUGCGCACACGGAUAUCGAAGAGUCUGAAAUAUCCCGCACUCGCAUCGUCUGUUUCGCAGAUCAACUGUGUACGACCUAGGUGGAAGACCCGAACGACAGCCGAUGUACUCUUGAACUCGAAAAGUCUCCAAGUCGCGGAAUACAAUUCAGCGUUCGUUGUUUGUGCCCUUCGACUAUUUACCGCCAUGGCCUUUCAGACGGCCUCUACGUACAAGUUCCUGGCCUCAAUCUGCUUAGCUUGUCUCAACCCCAUCUUAGGCAUCAAUGUUGCCAACCUAUAGAAUUUUGCCCAGAACACAGCAGAAAUCGGGAGAUGGCGUGUGCGCCUCAAUACAAAGUUGACCGCUUCUACCAGGUUGAUCGUCAUCUGCCCAUACUGAAACCCCUCAUCGUAACUUUGAGUCCAUUGUGAGUUCUCCAUGCUACCUAACCAUGUCCGGAGAUCUAUUGGUAAAGAUGACAUCUGAGAUUCAAGCCUCGCGAACCUCUGCCUAAACCUUCGCGGUUCUAACUCAUGAGCUGCAUGUUUAAUUUGAAAUCAUCAUUUUAAAAACAACAAAAAAUUUGAAAAGUAAUUUUUUAAAUAAAUACAAAUAAAUUUUUUUUUGCCCAUGUUCACAAGUUCUUUUUUUCAAUCUUUAUUCUUAUAAUCUCUGUGAAAGUUUGCCUCGAUGUGCCGAAUGCAAUAAAUAGACCUUUACGGAACCCCCGAUCGCCUUAUCGCAGCAAGUAAUCCUUUUGAUCUAUCUGAUAUAAUGCAAAUAUUAUCUUCUCUGACAAUGUGCCUCCACAGAUUUGUGAAGAAAAAUUCCCAAGACUCGAAGCACUCACGCUCCACGAUGGCGAAAGCAAUCGGAAGUACAUUUCGGUUAUCGUCUUGUGCAACAGCAAUCAGGAGUAUUUGCGUGUACUUUCUAUACAACCAUGUCCCGUCCACCUGCACCAUCGGCUUGCAGUGAAGGAAGGCCCUAACACACGGCUCGAAUGUCCAAAACAAUCGGUGAAAAACUCGUUUCCCUGAUUGUAUCUCCUCGUCCGUGCCUUGAUACGACAGCGUUUGUAAAUAAGUCACUGUCCCAGGCACAUACUCCUGCAUCCCGGCUAUCCAUAUAACGCCUCUUAACCCCAACUGGUCACCGGAACAGGGUUACUAGGCAUUACCGGAAUUAAACACUAAUAAUGAAUAACACCGAGUCAUAAAUCUAUAUUUCAAUUUAAAAUUUCUCAAAUUCCAUCUUUAAGUCCCUAAAAUGGACCUAGGAGGCCCAAAAUAUACUUAGGAAGUGUUUUGGGAUUAAAGCGGGAACUUUGGAAACUCUUCCUUCAGAAUAGGGGCACACGCCCGUGUGGCCUGGGACAUGCCCGUGUGGCCUGGAACAUGCCCGUGUGGCCUGCCCGUAGGCAGAUCUGACUUAUUCACACGGCCGUGGAACUAACCUAUGGCCAAUUCUGACUUUUCCACACGGCCUGGGCACACGCCCAUGUGACUUGGCCGUGUGAAAAUAUGAUUUUUGACCAUUUUAAAGCUAUUUUCACAUACUAAACACACCUAAUUCAUGCCCAAAACAUUUACUUAUAAAUCUUGAUCAAAUAAAAUUCAUCAAACCUUUCAAACUUAGCAAAUUCUCAUUCAUUCAUUUCAUUACCACUUAAAAAUUAUGCACCACAUUUACAUUCAAAAUAUAAAACAUUUACAAGUGACAAAUACCAAACCUAGUACAUGCCACAUAUCUAAAAGAUAGAGCAUCACCAAAAUUGAGCUGAGGUUGGGAUUGACUCAGAUGCUUGACUGAACUUCAACUUUAACUAACUUGCGCACGGAAAACAACCGUACGCUGAGUAUUGGAAAUACUCAGUGGUAUUAUCAUAAUUCAAAUUAUAACAACAAUAAAAUAUUAUAACAUACAUAGAUAAUUAGCAAAUCAUACAUAUAAAUUCAUACCAAACUAUCAUAUUUCCAUUAUAUCAUAUCCAAUGUUAAAUCCAAUAAAUCAUCAAUGAGAUUUCAAUUAACUCGUGAUCCUUUGAUUCAUCUCUCAACUACAUAUAAUUAUUCAAUUCACAUUUCAAAUAUGAACACUUCAUGAACAUUUGGUUCAUGCCUUCAAUCUCUUUACAAAUUUCAUUUCACAUUCCAUCUUACAAUAUCACUUUCUCAUUUCAUUCAAUAGCUCAAUUAACCAAAUCCAUUUGAUUUUACUAUUUCACUUAUUUUCCCCUAUUAACAUGACUCGGACUUUGGCAGAUACACGAUCCAACCAACACACCAGAAUGGCGACCAACGCCUCAUCGAAUAAUUCGAAGCAAAUAAGUGACGACCAACGUCUCAUCGGCUAAGCAGAAGUAAAGUGGCGACUAACGCCUCAUCGAAUCUAUCCGAAGUAAAUAUGACACACCAAGUGUCUCAUCGACUCGAGGUCGAAGAAUCCCUGAACUCUUCCUAUCCUAUGGCAUGCCAACUAUAUCCACCCUAGCCCGACUAGUUAAUAGGGUAUCAAAAUCACAUAUUCAUAUCACUUUCACUUUCAGUUGAUCGUAAUCAUUCGAAUUCAAAUCCAUCGCAAUAACAAUUCGAUCACAAUUUCAAAUUCACCACAAAUCAUUAUAUAAUUCAAUUUCACACAUGUAUACAUUCAUCAAUCAAAUCCAAUUCCCAUUCAAUUCAAAUAUCACUACUUACCUCACAUUCAAAUUCCAUACACAUUUAUUAAAAUUAAACAUUUAAUAAGAAAUAACUUGAAUUAUGAUAAUACAAACUGAUAUUUUUCUCGAGCUAUUCCUCGAUCACUUUUUCCUUUCCUUUCGUAUUCGACGUCUCAAUUUCCUUGUUUGCUACGAAAAUUAGUAUAAGUACAAUUAAUUAAUAACACACAUAUUUUAUAUAAAAUAAUAACUUUUCAUGCAACUUUUACCUAAAUCCCAAAUUUAUCCUAACUAUUUUCAUCUUCUUCCUUUUUAUAAUUCACAUCAUUUUCUUAUUCAAUUUCCAUCAAAACUUCAAUAUAACCAUCAAAUUUUCAUCAUUUUACCAUAAUUUCAAAUUUCUUCCAAUUUAACCCCUAAAAUUCAAAACUUAUAGGCUAGUUCACAAAUUAGUCCUUUAAUCAAUUUUAAUCAACAAUUCUAUCAAUUUAAUCCCUAAUUUCAUCAUUUAUUCAACAUAAACCUUACUCAAAAGUCUAUCAACUUUCAAUAUUUCCACACAAAUUCAAGAGUACUUUACUCUAAGACUCCAAAAACAUCAAAAUCACAAAGAAAGGGACUUAAUUGACUUACCAAUUUAACUUUCAAGCUUUCAAACCCUAAUUUCUCCUUUUUUUUUCUUUUCUUCUUUCUUUCUUUCUAUUUCGUUUGAUUCUCUAUAACUAUUUCUCUUGUUUUUCUUUAUUUUAUUCAUUCUUUAUUUUAUUACCUUAUUUACUUAAUUAAUAUUUAAUAAAAUAUCUAAUUAAUAUAAAUAAAAAUAUUACAUGUGUGUUCAUACACACAUGUACACAUGUAUUAAUCCCACACCAUACAUUUGUCAUUAUCUCAAUUAAUAGAUAAAAUAUAAUAAUAAUAAUAAUAGUAAUAAUAAGUAAAUAUCUUUUACUUAAUAAAUAAGUAAAUAUAUAUAUAACAUACAUUUGUACUAAUAAUUUAAAUACACAUAUAUUUAUUCUCUAUCUUACACAUGUCACUCAUUUGGUUUAAAUCCUAAUUUAGUCCUUUUUCAUUUUUCUUUAUUUUAUAAUUAAUCUUUUACACUCUAUUCAAUUUAGUCCUUUUUAAUAAUCACUCCUAAUUAAACUAAAUUCACCUAAUCAAAAUCUAAUUCAACCCAUAACUAACUUCGUAAAUAUUUUUUUAUAAAUAUUUACGGACUAGAUUUCCUAAGACGGAGGCCCUAAAUUUAUUUUUCCGGUGCCCAUGAAAUAUGGGUCGUUAUAAUCCACCCUUGAAGCUCGUUGUAUGACGCAUCCCAGUCACCAUACAACUCUCGCAUCGCCAUUUGCUUUGCCCACUAUGCCUUUCGGUACGACACUUUAUACUUGAAUCGAGGUUGCAUGUCCGCAAUAAGGAUCGACAUUUGAAUGGUGGGCGACUCUUUCACCAAAUGAAUGAUGUAGUUGUAUAUAGUUUUUGCAUAUAACUUUCCAUGGUCUUGCGACAUACGAGCGGACGUGCAUGUGUGUGGACCUUCUAGUUUUCUUAUCAUCCACAUCUGCGUCUGCUGCAUUAACGUGGCUUGGACACACCAUUUACAACCACUUGACGCUUUCCAACAUUCUUCUACGUACAAAGACUGCGUCGACUUCGUUACUUUAUAAUCCACACCUAACUUCAAGCUAAGUUGUUUUAUAGCAUGUAAACAGUCUUUUUUGUUAUCGAAUUGUUGUCCUACAAACAACUCUUCAUCGCUGAAUUCUUCGUCAAGUAUGUGAGCCGGCACAAUAUUUGUAUAUUCCGGGAACUCACGUGCUAGCACCGCAUCAGGAUCUACGUCGGUCAUGAAAGACCUCGAAUUAUUUCUUAUAACUAUACCAGGGCCUGUGUUCCCGGUCAAAUGGGGGUUUACAUUUUCACCCUCCACUGGCCCUUUCUCAUCUAUGUCUUCAGGGAUGUCAUCCAAUAGAGGUUACUGAAAUCAUCGUUUGGAUCACAAUGGGACUGAUCAUCAUUAUCGGACCCUUCAUCACCAUUUUCUAUGGUGGCCAACACCUCUGGAUGGAUCUCUAGACGAGGACACGGGUUUGGGAUGUUAUACGAACAUCCGCCGAUGUUUGGAUUUUCGGGAGUUAGCAUUGACCAUCCAAAACCCAACUGAUCUUCCCAGGAGAUGUUAAGAUCAAAAUCAAUUUCAGAGCGCUGGCUUGCUGGAAUUACAACUUGAAUCGGAUCUAGUUCAGCUAUCUCCAUGAACAACUCAAUCGAGUUGGGAUUUUCUAUCUCAGGAGGACAAUAAAUUGCUAUCAUUGUCCCUAGAUCAUCAUCAUCUUCAAGCUCCAUUUCUGAGAAUUUUAGCGGAUCAGUUGAAACCGAAAAUUUGUAAAACAGUCUCAACAUUUGCUUUUCGCAACGGCUUGCUAUCUUUGUACUGAUUUUCUGUUUUAAAUCCGACAACGAAACACGUCUGUUGAAUCUCAUUCCUAUUUUUUUCCGACUUCAAAAUACACAGCCUUCCUAAAUUGUAUUUAUCAUUUCUCCAUCGAAAUGAACAUAAACAAACAAAAUUUGGGAAAUCAUCUUAAAAAAAUUUUGCUUUCUUCUCAACGAAGAAAAAACUAAAAUUUUUUCUGAAAAAACUAAAAUCUUAAAAAGCACACAAAAACUCAAAUGGAAGAUAAAAUACAUAUAUAUAUCUGAUAAAUUUAGUGCCGGCCAUUGAUAGGCCAACAACAAAAAAAUUUAAUUUUUUUUAAUACUGGUGCCUGCCAUUGACAAGCUACCACAAAAAAAAAUUCAAUUUUUUUUAAUACUGGUGCCGACCAUUGAUAGGCCAGCACUAAAAAAAUUUCAAAUUUUUUUUUAAAUACUGGUGCCGCCAUUGACAGGCAAGCACCAAUUUUUUUUUAAAAACUCGUAUUCUGGUGCCUGUCAUUGACAGGCCAGCACUAAAAAAUUUUUAAUUUUUUUUAAAUUACUGGUGCCUACCAUUGACAGGUCAGUACCAAAAAAAAUCUUUUUUUUGAAAACUUGUAUUUUUGUAUACCAGUAUGAUACGGUUUGAAAAAAAAUACCUUGGUGCUGGCCAUUGACAGGCCAAAACCAAAAAAAUUAAUUUUUUAAAGCCUGACACAAUCAUCAGGAAAUCAUGUGUGCAAAAUACGAGUUGGUGCCAGCCAUUGACAGGCCCAAACCCUAAUCUACUGUUCAUUUCAAGUAAUUUUGGUGAUUGUUUUUGAACCUGAGUCAUUUUUAUAAAUAUCAAUUUUUUUUGGGUCAGUUUGAUAAAAUAGCACCAAAAUCCACUCUAACCAUAAUUUUGCUCGUUUUUCCAACGAACGACUUAUUUAACCCCGUUAACAUCUCUGUCAUCAUCUCCUACAUCCUCAAUUCUUACGAGUUCCCGACCACAUCGUCGUCGCCUGCAACUUCUUCGACUACUACUCCUCCAUAGAUCCAACCUCUAACUGCAACUGCGUUUGUUUCUUCUAGCCCACCAGUUUCCUUCUGAGGGAACCGAAACAAAACCCUUUAUUAUUUCAACUAGAAAGCCAUCUUCAAGAUCAAAUUCAAAGGAUUACUCUUUCUCAAACCAGAUUCAAAUCCCUUAUUUCUGAUCCCAAAAUAUCAUAUAAAGUAAACUCCUCUCCAAGUUAUUUAUGCCUUCCAUUCGCAUCUAAAGAUUCCCCACAUUUUCCUACAACACCCAAAUUACAUGUAAUCAAAAAAUUUUCAAUAAAAACAACUGACACGGUAAAAACCCAUCAUUCCAUUGCGAUAAAAAAAAUAUAAACAAAUAAAAAAUCAUUAAAAAAACAAUGGCUUACAAAUCCAUCCAAGUUAAGGGAGUGAAGGAACAAGUGUCUUGUAAAUUAAAAUAUAAAAUAAAUAAAUAUGAUAUUUGUCAUUCUCUUAAUUUAUUUGUGAAAUCUGAAAAAACUUAAUGAAAGAAGAAAAAAGAGCUAAUUUAUUGAUUACUAGAAACAAAUAUUAAAAUAAAAUUUUAGUUAAAUGAUAAAUUAAAAGUUUUACUGAUAUAAUUGGUUUGGAUUCAAAUAUCAUCAUAGGUAUAUUUUUAUUAGUUUUUUUAAAUAAAAAGAUUAAAAUAUUCUCUAAUAAUAUAACUUAUUUUAAUUACGAAAUGAUAUUUUCAUAAUUUUUCUAACUGAGUUGCUAACUUAAUUGAGGAUGACACCAUCUUAAUCAGGAGCUUAAAUAAUAUUAUAGAUAAAAUAAAUAACUCAUAGUGUUGUAAUAUCCACUAUUAAUAUGACAAAGAUUUAAGCCUCAUUUACAUUUGAGGUUGAAAAGCAUUUUUUAACCUAAACGUUGAUUUCAAACAAAAAUUGUUUUGGAAAACAAGCAACUUCUUAAAGGGGAUUUUAAUUCAAGCCAAAAAUUUUAACUUUUUUCUUUCCAAAAUUUUUUAACUUUUUUCUUUUUUGGAAUAGUACUUUUCAAUUAAGUUAUUAAACCUUUUAUAAUCUAAAAUUAACAUUUUAUCUUCUCAAAAGUACUUUUAAACUAUUAAAAUAAUCAUUUUUAUUUACCUCAAGUUACAUUUUAGUCACUUAUGUUUGAAAUGUUACAUUUUAGUCACUUACAUUAUCGCGUUGUAAUAUUUUAGUCACUGAGCCAUGGUAAGCUGACGUGACACUUUAAAUCAUUAUUUCGAACAAAAAUUUUAGGUUAAUUUAUACAAUCGAUCUCCAUAUUUUUUCGUUUUGGGCAAUUUAAUUUUUUUCUUUUAUUUUCUUUAUUUCCCAUUCUCUUCUGCUUCUUCCUCUGUUUUCCUCCAUUUUCCAUUUCUUUUAACGGAGUUUUUCUAUUUUUUCUAUUUGUUAAAACUAUGAAAAAUAUAGAAAAGCUACGUUAAAAGAAAUGAAGAAGAGAGGAAAACAGAGGGAGAAGCAGAAGAGAAUGGAAAUAAAAAAAAGAAAAAGAAAAGGAAAGUUCAAAGAACAUAAAAGAAAAAAAUUAAAUUACUUGAAAUGAAAAAAUAUGAUGACCAAUUGUAGAAUUUAACCUAAAUUUUUUGUUUAAAAUGAUUAUUUAACAUGCCACGUCAGCUUACUAUUACACCGUUAAUGGCAAUUAACGGCUCAAUGACUAAAAUGCUACAACACGAUAACGUAAAUGACUAAAAUGUAACGUUUUAAAUAUAAAUGACUAAAAUGUAACUUGAAACAAUCAGAAGUGAAUAUUUUAACAGUUUAUCAUUUUAAUAAUAACAGUAAACACUAUCAAUAUUUUUAAAAACACUUUUUUUUUUCACACAACUUUACAAUAUUAAUGGUAAACUAGCAGUGAAAGAGUAAAGUAUAAGAGCCCAAAAGGCCCAAAGCAAAAUGUCCCCUCAUUGAAACGUUAGACGUUAAGCUACAGCAGUAUUGGGAAUGGAGAAAUACAGAGCUGGGCUACAAAAGUAUGAAGGCCCAGGUUGGCUAUAAAUGAAAAUAUGACCGUCUUCUAAAACAGAAUUUUUCCUAUCAACUCCACGUCUCUUUCCAUCGACUUAAAUACCAGAAUAACAAUUACGAGCUUUAUAAUUCAUUGUUUACAUCCUUGCAGGGCUAAGUCUCCAGAUAACCAAUAACACCUCCCACUCCUAAAAGCUGUCAUUCUCCUCCAUGCAUUUUCUUAAAAAAGUUAACAGGAGAGUGAUUUGGCAAAAGAGGUGAGCUUGUGAAUGGUGUGGGAAGUAUGUAAUGACCAUACCACACUUUAUUAUUUGCACAAGCAAAUCAAAGUUAAGCUUUACAUCAUAAUAAUGACAUGAGGACUUUGGAAUGGAAGAAACAAGACGGUGAAUACUAACCAAAAAUCUAUCAUCUCCCAUUUACGAUACCAUUUAAUUUCUUUUAUAAAAACAAUGAUUCUGAGACAUAAUUGUUGACUUGAAUGGAAUGUCUCGCAACUCUUUUUUUGUUCCUAUCAGUUUCUGGCAAAGCAUGGGAUCAUAGUAUCCAUAUAAUUACAAUAUAUUUAUAGGAUACUACUUCUAGAGCUUACCUUGUCUUGUAAGAAACAAGACAAGAGUGAAUAUGUUUCUGUUUCUGAUCCCGUGAAGGAAAAAUGCAAGUUUUACUCAAAUCCGCUGCUCUUAAUCUUAAAUUAUUUCUUUCCGAACAAUCUGAGUCUUGAAUGUAAAAUCUGAAAGGAAUCAAUUAUUAUGAUGUCCUACAACUCACAUGCACAGUUUGGCAAAAUAACAUUGAAAAACAUCUGAUCUAAGACUUUUGGCAAAUGAUUAAAUUAGUUAAUUUAUUUUAAAAGUAUUACAACUUUCAUUUUCGAGUUUGACAACAAUUUUUGUCAUGGCAUGAGAGUACUGAGAGUGAGGCCACGUGAAAUAAUCCUCUUGUGGCCGUUUUAAAGGUCUCGUGAACCAACAGGGACCCCUGUUCAUCCCAAAAUGAAUAAAAUAUUUUGGUUUAACUUAUCACAUUUUUAAUCUUAAUAUCCCAAUUAUGAUCUCCUUUAUUUUAUUUUUAAAUAAAGAAGAAAAUAGAAGUAGAGGGGGAGCUAUUUAUAAACACCAUAUCCUUGAAAUAAUUGUUAUCGACAAACUUCCUAGAAAAUAAAAAGAGACUUGAAAAAUGUGUUGGUUUUCCCUUAUAAUAAUAUUGUCGAGUUCCAUAGUUAUAGAUUUGUCAGAGGGUAGCCAUGCCCAUCAUCAUCAUCAUCGGAAGAAAUCUGCAGUUGUUGUUGGAAGUGUGUACUGUGAUACUACAUGUUCCCAAGAGGAGUUCUCUAGGACCAGCCAUUCCAUUUCAGGUUUAAUUCCAUUGCCAAACUUGUAUAAGGCUUCCAUCUCCAUCAGUUAGUCUGAAUUGGGGUGGUUUUGUGUGCAGGUGCAUCAGUUGCAGUGGAAUGUAAAGAAGGGACUUCAAGGCCAGGUUUCGUGCAGGAAGUGAAAACCAAUGAGCAUGGUGAAUUCGAACUUCGAUUGCCUUUCUCAGUUAGUAGAAGGGUGAAGAAAAUCAAUGGAUGUUCAGUGAAAUUGAUUAAAAGCAGUGAACCAGAUUGUAAUGUGGUGGCCUCAAUACCAGCUUCGUCUGCACUCCGUCUGGUGUCGGGGAAGCAUGGAACUCGUGUGUUUUCAGCUGGGACUUUCAGCUUCAAGCCUCUAAAACAACCAAACCUGUGUAGAACAAAACCAAAAGAAGCAAAUGGAGAAAAGGCUGUCCUUGGCCACCCUGAAUCAUUCUUUUUCCCUCCUCCCCUGUUUCCUCCGAACCCCUUUCAGCCUCCUCCGUUGCUUCCUCCCAUACUGCCACCACCAGCUCCACUUAUUCCAAACCCAUUUCAGCCUCCUCCAGCUCCACUUAUUCCAAACCCCUUUCAGCCUCCUCCAGCUCCUCUUAUUCCAAACCCUUUUCAGCCUCCUCCAGCCCCACCGGCUCCACUUAUUCCAAACCCUUUUCAGCCUCCUCCCGCACCACCGGCUCCACUUAUUCCAAACCCUUUCCAGCCUCCUCCCGCACCUCCAGCUCCAUUUAUCCCAAACCCCUUCCAGCCUCCUUCGGCACCUCCAGCACCUCCAGCACCAUGGUUUCAUCUUCCACCGAUUCCAGGACUAACUCCACCACCAUCGCCACCACCUCCACCUCCACCAACCUUCCCGUUUCCUCUUCCCCCAUUCCAUUUCCCACCUAUACCGCCUUUCCCUGGUAUCCCCCCUGCCUCUGCCUCUACUUCACCAAAGAAAUCCUCUCCUUAAUUGUGUACUAUAAGUAAUGAUUCUCCACUAAAACCUGUCACAAUCUAGCCACUCUUCUGAUGAUUAUCAAUUACAUAUGUAUAUCUUUUUUGUUCAUUACGAUUAUAAAUUAUAUAUACAGUUAAAUAAUCUACCUAAACAGUGUGGGCUUUCUCUUGGUUGUUUGUAGAGUGAUUGACUGUACCAUUGUCAAUAAGAAGCUCCCGUGAAUGUGACACAAUUAUUGUACUAUAUAAUAAAUCCAAUCCUGGGGUCAUCUGAUUCCAACAGGUUUAUUCUCUUUAGUCUAAAGUUUUUCUAAAUCAGAACUUUUUUUUCCAUUUUACGACUCCAGCUUCUUCUUCUUUUUUUUUCUUUUUUUUUUUUGGAUUUGUUGAGCAAUUACUAUAUUAGUGGAGCCUGAACUACGUAAUAAAUAAGCUAACAGCAAGCACAAAACGAAAAUGAUAAUCACGACAUGCAAUCACUAAAAACAUGGAAUUUUAAUUAGUUAAAUGAAAACAACAAUGAGUCUUUGUCUUAUUAACUUGAAAGACUGAUAGAAAGAAGAUACACGUUGCAGCAUCCUACUCCAACUGUUCUAAGUUUAUAAAUAGAAAGCCUAGCUAAUAUAUGAUUAGCCAUCUGGACACUGGUGUUGAUUUCAUUUAAUAAUGCAAUCAAAAGAAUAUAGUUUUGUCUUGUACCUAUAUACAUUUCCUCCAUUCUCAGCCGAUUGCUCAAUAUUCGGUAAUGGAGACGACAAUUAGGAUGGUGCAGAGGGAGAAGUAGAAAAUUUGGUUUUUUUUUUCUUUCUUUUUGGCUGUUUUUGGCAGUUUGGUGAUAAAAGAAAUGCAUCAGGAACGGCUACUUCCGGUUCUUCGGAUAAGAUGAUGGAUAAGCUCUCUCUGCUGUAGCAGUAAACAAAGAUGGAAUUAUUUUUAACCGUUUUCCUAUGCUUUUAGCAUUUUAAAUCUCCAAUAACGAAGCAUCAUCGACAUUAACCAACAACAUACCACGCACCCGUCAAUAUAAAUCAUUAAAAGGUUCGUGCAAAAUAACCACAUCGGCAUGCACAUGCAUAGGCCCAAACAUUAAGCACAAAAAAGCUUACCCCUGGACUCAAUUUUGUUGUCUCCUGGCUCAUAUAUUUGCAACUUUUCCUGUAAAUAACUGAAUGUACUCUUUGACCUACACAUCAAAAUCUAUUCAUGAGAAACAAAUAAUAAACAUAGUGAUCACUUUCAUGCAUGAAUAGAACAUAUGCAAUAUACAGCCUUGUCUCUCUUUUCAUCAUUUUGAGGUAUAAGGUCUCUCAAAAUCCGAAACCUGCCACAUAAAAAAUAAUGGAUUUCAAAUGUGAGAGCAAUCUAGUUUCUAGUAUUAACAAAAACAAGAGGGAUGGUAUUGGUCAUUCAUAAGUAGGAAAAGUUUACAUGGUUGCUGAAACUUCAAUAUGACAGCAACUUAACGGUAAAUUGAUCUUUUUGAGAGUUUUCUUUAUUCAGAUGCAAUUAUGUUUAGCCUAUUAAUAGUUCGCAUAUCUGUGGAAUAAUGUGUAUAUGUUGAAAAAAAAAGUCAUACUAAUGAUCAAUCAUUAGCAGCAUACUCUACACAUCAGAUUUUAUCAUCCUCCACAGCUUUAUCCUUAUUUUUUGAUUUGGAGAUGGAGAAUUCGAAAGAGGCUUGUUGAGCCAAAAUGCUUUGCUAUUGACAUUUUAGUUAUACUAGGUUUGGUGUUAUGUGAUAAAAAUCCAAUCAACAAAAUACAUAAACCAGAGUUAAAUUUUAAUAUCAAAUAAAUUAUACUUAAAAGAAUAUUUUUUUAUUUAAUAAUUUUGAAAAGUAAAAGAGAAUUUUGAGAAAUGGUAAAACUUUGGGAGAAAUUUGGUAUAAAACUCAUAGAUGACAAAAUUUAGGAGAAAUUAUUUAGAAUCUUAAAUUUGAUCCUCUCAAAUGUUAAGAUUUAUGUCUUUCAAGCAAACUUAAUCUGUACAUAUGAAUGGUGCUAAAUAAGAUUUCAUCACAAGUUCUGUUGCAAAUGUUUUACUUUGUUAAUAAAAUAUUUUUUGUUCAACCAGAUUCAAUAUAAACAGAAAAUAUUUAGUUCAACUCUUGUUACAGGCAACCAUUACAGAACUCCUUAAUAUUGUUGAAUAAAAACCUACUUGUUAACCUAGGGAAGUGGAGUCUCAGGCUUAGAUUAGCCGAAAGAUGGGUAUCCACUACGUAUAUGGUACUUGUUUAUGUAGUAUACCUAUUUUACAACAAAAGCCUCUCACUCUUAAUUAGAAAAUGGAAUAUAACUACACUUACAGAGACAGGGGAGGAACCCCCUACAAUUUAAUGCUUGUUUGAAGAGAUGCUAUAAAAACUACCCAAACGUUACUUUUUGACUAAAAUGUUUAGUUGCAGUAGCUAUGGCAGCUUCAGGGCCACUUGGUUGUGCGGUUUUUGAGAAUGAAUUGGUGCAAAAGGACAGCAGAAAUCUUAAAAAGGAUUCACACGAAAGCUCCUCCUUGUAUUUGCUCAUUUUGGUCUUUGACAAAAACCCCCAAUGGACAGAGAAGAUUUAACUGGUGUGUUUGCUUGCUUGAUUGAUUUGAGACUAGAUGGUUUACUAUGUCAUGUUUGGG
rnacentral:lncRNA from 1 species